rnacentral:lncRNA from 1 species
CUCUGGAUCACCUGUCCCGAAAAGGGUCUCACCAAUGAUGUCAUGACUUGCAAGAAUUAGACCAAUAGGUUCCAGUGGGGUCUUCCUCCAUCAGUUAGGUUCGUGCAUGAUUGAUAUGUAAUCAACAGGUAAUAAAUGAGUCUGAGCCAAAAAAGAGUUUUCCUCUUAGCUUACUUUCUAUGCCCUUUAAACAGUUGUGAUCAUUGACAACUGAUUUAGCCAACCGGGUUGCUAAUUAUUAAGUGGUUUUUUGUUGCAUGGAUGCCACAUGAAUUAUUCAGGUUUUUCUCUCAGUAGAGGCCAUCUGUUGCCGUGAGAUUUCACCCCCUAACAGCAGAGAUGGUACAAUGGCAGAAAUACGUGAAGCUGCUAUCCUUCAAAGAGGAAAAAAGCAGAUAAACAAAGGGUUGAUAACUACCAUAGGUUGCAAUUGUAAGAGGAAAUGGGAAAGGAAAGACGAACAAACCUGUUACUAUGACCAUGAAGUUGAGGAGACAUCGUUGAUAUCGUGUCCAAUGAUCAAAUGUCAUUGGUUCAUUGCAUUCACUAUUUGCCACCACUAUCAUCACGUUUGUCCUCUGCCACCACAUCGAAUCAGAGGAAAUGAUGGAGGGGGAAGGGGAAGGAUAAAGGGAUUCCAUGAUAGAGUAUGGCAAUGCCAUUGGAUUUGGGAUUAAUCCUGAAUCCCAUUUGUGCUUGCUUCGAAGAUCCCUUUCUUUGCAUGCCUUUGCAUUGCCUAAUGCUUCAUUUGCAUGAUAAUUAAAGAGGUGCUGGGAAUGGGGACUUGAGCUCUCAUCAAAGUGGUAAAUGGAAGGUUUUAGGCCUUUUUAUAUGAUAUAUGAAAGAGUCAUCUCUUACAUAGUAACUUGGUAUAAUAUGUUGGUAAAAAAACUUUGUAUUAUAUGAUUAUUACUUACUUUCACAACACAUAUAUCAUAUUUAUUUCAUGACAUACAUAUAUCAUAUUCACUAAUAACUUUCAGCAUGAUUUUUAUAUAGUUCCUCAUCAUUUAUGUUUAGUUCCCAUUUCUUACAAGUUAGAUAUUCUAUGGAAUAUGAAGGUAAAAAUGAUCAUUAGCAUACAUGAUUUUUAAUUUUUGAUUAUUUACUUAUUAAAUAACAUAUUUUAUAUUUUUAUGACCCUAAUUUGUUUGUUUAUUUUCCUUUGAGUUUAAUCCAGAAUUGAUUUUCUUUUAUUCACAGUUAACUAUCAAGUUUUAUCCCUUUAUUUGUGCUAAGCUUAAAGUAAUCCAAGACUUAUGAAUUUGAGUUGUUGCCAUAUGUUUCUGCCAUGUUGAUCUGGCUGAUUACCCUGAAGCCGCGGACGACUUGUUUCUUGUAUUGCCUUAUUUAUAGUCUCAUUUAACAUUAUCUUGUUAAAAUUAGUUUUAUGAGGAAUAUCAGUAAAUGAUGGAAAAGAAAUUUGUGCAUAAAAACUUCAAGAAAUAAAUUGUUUCCAACUCAAACAUACCCAUUGAUGCAAAUUUUAGAAUUGUCUAUGUGAAAUAUCUUUGGACAAUUUCAGAAUAGUCUGAUUAAUCUCUAGGACAGUAGUACUGAGUCUGGCAGGUAAAAUUUAACCCCUUUGGAAUUUUCAGGACAUAAUUCCAUACCAUUCAAUUUUCACCAUUUUGUGGAGAAUGAUUCUACAUUUUGUUCUUUCAUACUCCUUAGCAGAUAAGUAGCAGAAUUGGUUUAGGGUUUAGACUACGAGCAUCGGUUGAUAACUUGCUGUUGUAUAAUAAGUAUUCAGAGUUUUACAUGCUAGUUGGCUUCAUAUUUCAAUCUAAUGAUAUAUUAUUCUUGACAAAAUCUCCCACAGUAUGAUGUAUGUGACUUGUUUAAUUUUAUGGAUGAGAAUAUACUGCUCAUGACAGUGCAUGCUAAUCGGUAGAUAUCACUGGUAUAACUUGCCUCUUCCCCACAUGAAAAAAAAGGGAAAAAAGAUCCUCUGCCAACAACUACCUGACAUCACUGAUGCUCUAGCCAGCUUGCUGAUUGUGCGUCACAGUGGUGAUUUCACAUUUAGUGAUAGAUUAUUCUUGACAAGGUCUCCCACAUUAUGAUGUAUGUAACAUGUGUUUAAUUCUAUGGAUGAGAAUAUACUACUCAUGCUAGUGCAUGCUAAUUGGUGGAUAUCACGGGAGAACUUGCCCUUCCCCGCAUGAAAAAAAUAAAGCAAAAAAAAGAUCCUCUGCCAAAAACUACCUGACAUCAUUGAUGCUCCAGCAAGCUUGCUUUAUUGUUGGUCAUAGUGGUAAUUUCUUUGUUGCUGAACUGUCCCAAUACUAGCUAUCAUACCGGCUACUGGAUGCUCAUUGGAGAUAAGUUGUUUCAUUCCCUUUCCCUCACAAAAUUAUAAAAUUGAAGAUAGUAAAUUUUCUUUUGUAUUUUUCUUGAAAGAUGGUAGAUAUAUCAUGUCCAACCACACUAAGUGCAUGGCAUUGCUGGCUUUGCUAGUGGCAUGUCAACCUGUGCCAUGUGUUGUUAUGACUAAUGCACCUAAAUGGAAUUGUGAUCCUUGAAUUGUAGUGUAUUUAGUUGGUGAUAUAGGCUCCACAUUGUUUAUUAGUGUCUUCAAAAUCUUGAUAUCUGUAAUCUCUCACUGGAAUUGCUAGACACGUAAGUUAGAUACUAAUGCAAGAUCACAUUGAUUGUGUCUGGACAGAAAAAGGUUACUUUCUUGGAAGGAAAGCCUCAUCAAAAAGGCAUUAUAAAUAGCAUAAUGUUCAUGCCGUGGAUUGAUUUAUGUUUCGUAACUGGUGGGAGUGACCAUGCUGUGAUACUUUGGCAAGAAAUAGAUGAUUCAUGCAAACCCAAGACAAUACAUGGGAAUCUGCAUUCUUCUGCUGUCAUGGGAGUUGCUGGAUUGCAACAAAAGAAGACUGUACUAUCUGUUGGUGCAGACAAAAGGAUAAUUGCGUUUGAUAUGUUAUCAGGAAGAUCUGAGUUCAAAAAUCAAAUAGAAAGCAAAUGCAUGAGUGUGCUGCCAAACCCAUGUGACUUCAAUUUGUUCAUGGUGCAAGCAGGGUAAGUGAAUAAGCUUGUGCAAUGAUUCCAUUGAAGUCUUAUUAUUUAUAGUCCGUUAGAAUAUUUUAAUAUUAGAAUAUAUUGUUUCUGCAAAAUAAAAUGUAAAACUGUGUCUUCUAUAUUAUCUAUUCUAGUUUCAUCUGGGAUUGGGUCCUAGAGUUUCUUAGUAUAUUCAGUUUGACUUUUGGACAAUAAUACUUAUAAAAUUGAAUCAACAAAAUUAUAAAAUUUAAUAUUUUAACAACUGUUAAUGCUUCUAUAUUUAUAAAUUAUGAUACUCAUGCUUGUGUUAUCUUUUCUGGAUUAAUUUUUAAACCAAGGCUUACUAUAACCUUGCCAUGCAAGCUCUUCUUUGCCAGUCUUGUGAAAUCUCCCAACAAGUUGUGCUCAGCCUUAAAUGUCUACUAGCAAUGAUUUCAUGCAUUGAGCAUCAUAAAUAAAUUGAUAGUUAAAUUCUCUGAAUAAUUUACUAAAGAAAUAUGACUAUUUCUAGGGAUGGGCCAAAUAGUUUUGCACCCUUGAUAUCUGGAAAGAAAUUUUCCUUCUUUUCUGUAUGGUGCCUAACAAGUUUUUUCUGUUUGCUUAUUUUUCUGAUUCUGUAUCUUUAUUUUUUAUUCGAAUAAGCAUGAAUAAUUUGGAAAACAAGCCUUAAGAUAGGACAACCAAGUAAAUAUACAUGCAAAACAUUUAAACUGAUCUAAGUAGUUGUGAUGCAAAUAACAAGCAAGGAUGUAAUGAUCCAAGAAUUAGAUAGAAUAGUCAUCAUUCUAGAUUGCUCAAAUAGCUGUCAGAAGGUUUACAAGCUUACAGAAGAAAGGAAAGCACAACAGUGACAUGAAUAAGCAAAUAACUUAUAUCAUGAUGUAAACCAAAUGUUUUAGUAAAUAUUGAGUGCUAAAUUGGUAGCUAAGGUGCUAUUGACCAUCUACCUGCCAUGUUGUUAGGGACCCUUUAGCUGAUGCAGUUGUAAUGAUAUUUACGCAGAAAUGGUCCCUAACAAAUCGAGAAAAUAUGUACAAACCAAUCUUAUAUUCUCUUCGACGGUAAGGAUCAAGGGUUUUUCUAAGAAAGCUCUCGCUUUCUUUUUCAUUCUAUGGGACGUUGGGGCUAAGCAACAGUAAGAUUUGGGAGUUCACCGUAGGGUACGUACAUAUGGGAGGAUUAUGGUGUUGAACGCGAGAAAAAAAAUUGCUUUGGUUUAACCAGUCUAGAUUGCAGGAUAAGGUUUUGGCAAAAUGAAAUUAAACAGCCAUAAAUAACCCAAACAAUAGGAUACCAAAAAGAUAAAAGUGCUGUUUAAAAAUAAAAACUAGAUGGACCUUGGUGAUGCCUCAUUAUGGGGAAAAUAUAAGCACUGGUCAGAUUAGCAAACCCCAGCCAAUCCUUCAUUGGAUGCUAGUUGAUUUGAUCCCUACAGAUCAUCUUAUUUCGAUUCCUAUUCCCAAUUUCCGGAGUCGACAUGGAACAUUGUAAUUUGGUGGACCUUGUGGAAUUGUGAUCAACCAAAUUUUUGGAUCUUGCUGUGUACACUUAUAAUUAUUGUGGUGGAGAUAAGAGAUGAAAUUCUAGUGUAUAUGGAGCUAUAAAAUGUGUAUGCGACUCAUUGCAUUCAACUAGAUAAUCAAGCUAGUUUCUGUAGACCCAGAAGAUAUGAUCAGAAAAUUUGUCACGUGUAGUUGUUGGCUUUAGUUCUUUUGACUGGCCUUUAGUAUGUUGAUUGAGCAUGCUGUUAGAGAAAACCGUCUGAAGAAAGGCAACUACCAAAUAGAAUCAUCUUUGAAGAUGCCCCCAGAUGUGGAUUUUGGCUUCAUGCUGUAUAAUUUCUUGUUAAUCAAUUACUAUGUAUUCUAUCAGGAAUGCAGAUUCUUUCCUUUUCCUGACCAGUUGAUGCUCUAUUUGCAUUUCUCAGGGAACCUGGGAGACAGCUUCGGUUGUUUGAUGUACGGCUAAGGCAGACAGAAAUUCAUGCUUUCGGGUGGAAACAGGAAACAAGUGAAUCCCAAUCUGCUCUGAUUAAUCAGGCAUGGUCUCCUGAUGGUCUAUAUAUAACAUCUGGUUCGGCAGACCCCAUGAUUCAUAUCUUCGAUAUUAGAUACGAUGGACGAAAGCCUUCACAAUCGGUGCAGGCUCACCAGAAACGAGUUUUUAAAGCUGUAUGGCACCAAUCACUUCCACUUCUCACAUCAAUAUCAUCUGAUCUCAACAUUGGAUUACACAGGGCAUUAUAGAUAGUUUAGCUUCUCAGCUGUGUGGUUUCCUUCAUAACCACAGCAUCUUUUGCUUAGAUGACAUCAUGAUGCAUUCGAAUGAAACCUUUUACUAACUAAAUUCAAGGAAAUUUUAGUCUUUAAUCUGGGUGGUUAAUUAUCAGAGUGAGUGGCAAAAGCAGCAAAGUACUUGAGAUGCCUUCCAAGUUGGUGUUUGUAGCUGAUUAAGAAGGAUCAGGAGAGUAUAGCUGGGCAAUAAUUUGUUAAUGGAUGGCUACCUACAAGCAAGCUUACAAAAACUAUAAAUUGGCUUGGUGGUCUUUUAUUGAGCUUCGCACAUGAUGGGGAUAGAAGAACAAUCUCAUCUGUGUGUAGGUGGUCACGUUGACAAUUUUGUAUAUGCUCCUGCUGGAGCACAGAGGAUAACUCUAAUGUGCUUAGUAUUGCUCUCAAGGACUGGUUUAAUAUUUUGCGAUGAGAAGGUUCCCUCUGCUUAAGAAGCUAAAGAGCAGGAUAUGAACUUCCCUUGUGAGAGUACUGCAUCAUAACCAGCUUGUUUUAGGGUUGUCAAACACUGAUAGAUGCAAGCAGCCAAAUCGGGAGAUCAUAUGAUACAUGAUUACUGUGAAGUUGGUGUAUUAUCAAGAGCACAAACGCAAUGUGAUGCCAUCGUGUGAGCAAUUCAUGAUCUCAGCCAUUUUGAAGAAAAGUAGUCUUCCUUGUAAUAUUUUAUUUCAAUGAGGGCUGAGUUUUGGUGUAAUGAAAAGGAGGUUGUUGUGACGUAAAACUUUUAUCUUAUAGAAAAAGAAAAAGAGGUUUUCUCUACUAAUUCGACUUUGGACGAAAAAAAUUUCCUUUGAAGUUGAUAAAUCAGAUUUUGAUUAUAAGACUUGUCGUCAAAGGGUCUCCAUAUAUAAACAUAGGUCUGACUUUUUUGAGUCUUGUCACAAGUUGGAUUUCGUGAAGACAGAAUUAGGUAGGUAGAUGACAGCAAAGAUUUAUGUUGGGGACGUGUUUGAUGUCGGGAUCGAUAGGUUAGAGAGAAAAAUAUAAGUGAAAUAGAUUGAAUGGUAUAUGAACAUAAAGUUACUAUCUUUGUUCAUAUCUUCUUUAUCAAACAGGUUUUGACUUGUGUUAAAUCUCUUUAGAAGUAAUCUUUAUACCAAAAAUAUGUUUAGCCAACCCAAGUCUUUUAUAACAAAAGUCUUGCUCAACAAUCCUUUUAGAUUUACAAUUUUCUUAGUAUCACCACCAACAAUUAACAUGUCAUCUAUAUAUAAUAUAGCAAGAGAAAUUUGUUGUCUUAACUAAGGAGGCCUCUUUUUCAUCUCAUUUUUCCUCGAGAGAUCUUACUGUUUUUAUAGUCCAUCUUGACUUUUUUUCUAGUUCUACAUCAGGCAUUUCUUCUAAUUUAUUUUCAGAUAGUAUAGUAGGAUAUACACAUCUUUCAUAUACUUCAGUACUCUUUGAUAUUUAAGUCUAUUAAAAUUUUCUAUCAUCUUUUACAUCUUUUAAACCAUCCAAGACUAUUUCAUUUCGAUCUGAAAAAAUUUCUCAUCAUAAUAUUUCAUCUCUAGUAAUCUUUUCUAUUAAAUCUAAGUAAUAAUAAGAUCCAAACAAAUUUCAAAAAAUCAUCAUCCAUACCUUCGAUAUUCUCUUUCGAGCGUGAUCAAACUCGUUGACAUCGUGUUGAUCAUAUUUUUUUUAACUGAAAUAUAAUCUAUUGAUAAUCUUUUCAAUCUCGAUAUCUCCUAGUCUGAUGAUUGUCAAGAUCAAAUCUGCACUUCAUUGAUGUUAUAAUCAAUUAUUAUUCAUGGACAUCAUCCUAAUUUGUGUAAUCACUAGAGAUUUUUUUGUAUCUUUUUAAAAAUUAAAAUUAUCGUAAUUAGUGUUUUGUUUUAUGUGGAUUAUGUAUUCCAUUUUUGUGUAAUAUGAUUAACAAAAUAAUUAAAAUAUAUUUCCUUAAUGGUUUGGUCAAGUUUGGAAAUUAAUUAAUUAAUUAAUUAAUUAAUUAAUUAAUACAAAAUUUUAAUUUUAAUUUUUUAUUUCCUUGAGAGGAACCCACCCACCUUGCUCUUCUAUAUAAAGGAGGUGAGGCUCCUACUUUGUUCAUUACUGGAUCAAGAGGAGUGUAAUAGUUGGGGGGACUGAGAUAGGAGAAGGUCCUCUACAUCCAUCCAUCAGGAAGAAAGAAAGGUAGAUCAUAUACCCUUUCUCAAUUUAUUUUCAAUGCAUUCAUGAAAAAUCUUGGUUUUGUAAUGAUAUUAAUUUCAUUGGUUUAGAAAUUUUGAAUUCUGAUUAAAGACAUUUGGAUAUUGAAAUUAUCUUAGCAAGAUCCAUGAAUUAUCAUGUCAUUAAUUUAGUUUAAAUAUAGCAUCAUAUUAAAUUAAUGAAUUUUUUUCCAUUAUUCUUUAAGUUGAUCCAACUAGUUUGGCAUGUUGAUUUAUUUGAUCAAUAAAUUUCAUGAAAUUUAAACUUUUGCAUUUUAAAUCAAGUUGAAUUAAUAAUUUGGUAGCAUGUUGAAUAAUAUAAAUUAACAUAUUGAUUGAUUGAUUGAUUGUGGAAUUUUAUUAUAUAUAUAUAUAUAAUAUUUAAUUAAAUUAAAAUUUUAAAAUAACUUUGUUUGAAUUAAAUGAGAUUAUCUAUCUAUUAUAUUUAAUAAUUAAUUAAACACUAGAAUGAAAUCGCAAUUAAGGGGUCGGAGUGCGUCCGACCAAGUUCAGACCGCUGACUGCCACAUUGGCUCGAGUUUGGUAUGACGUGGGCCUGCUUAACCCAGCGGCCUAGCCAGUGGCUCCGAUCCGUCUUCGGUCUUCCAUAGAAGCGCGGCCCAGCUCAAGAGACUCGUGCAGGAGGCAGCUUAGUAUAGGCUCAGCCCAAAUAGACCCAUUCUCGGCCCAUCUUCGCCCGGUUCCUUAGGCCCACAGACGACCCGUCUCUAAAGCCCAUACCGCCGCCUCUUGGAGCCGUCUAGAUCAGGAAAAAUAAGCCUGUGGGCUGCGCCAAGGUUGGCCCGAGCCAUAUUGGACCAGGCCAUAUGUGUACCGACCCGUCAGUGCCCACGUGGCAUGUACCGACCCGUCGAUAUCCCAUUGGCGGGCGGACCAAGGUUGGUCGUCUGGAUCUGUGAUUGUCUACGACAGUUGGAUAGCAGCACGUUUAUCUCGCGGGUUUCUAUCGGGAUUCCUUUGAUUGAUGAUACACGCACCCCGUGAACAGGGCCCUGCCACGAUUCAUUCAUCAUAGUGAUAAGGCUUAGGUGUCUCCGUUUGGUUGGCUACCUUGUAAAUUUCGUGUGCGGGGCUGCCAGCAUAAGAAAAUUUCCUGGGGUGACCCGAUAUCGUGCCAACAGAGAGGCGACACGAAACCCCGGAAUUCGUACCGGCGUGUGUGAGAUAUCUUUCAACUCCAAUCCAAAAUAAUUCCACGUUUCGCAUUCAUUAGAUCCCCCAUCCGAGAAACCUUUUUCUGGUCGCCACCACCCUUGGGCAAAUCAGCUCCCAGCACCCUCGAACGCAGUCGACAUGUCCACCGGAGCGGCCAUCGUGCUGAGCGCCACUGUCGCCGGCGCUACCUCUGCGUGCCUCCUCCAGCGACAGCGCUCCCUCCGCCUCCCUCGCGUGUCAUGCCACCGGGGAAGCCACGAUCGAAGCGAGGAUCCUCGGCCGACCCUGCUGCAACGGCGAGGCUUGCUGAUCGUCGGUUUGGGAGGGCUAUGCAGCGUGGCCGCGGGGCCGAUCGUGCUCGCGGAGCCGGUGACGCCCUCGGAUCUAGAUCUACAUCUCCAACAGAUAGCCACGACGCACGCCCAAGCCGUGAUAGGCCAGCGAUUCUGAUUGGUAAUUGCCGCAUGCAGGUGGAUUCGUCCAAGCUAACGGCGAUGGAGACCGAGGACGAGCUGCUGCGCGUGGAGGAGUUCGGAACGCAGCCCCGGAGGUUGGACCCCACCAGGCCGCUCCGGGUGUUGGUGGCGAGGCCCAAGAAGAGCCGCACCAAGGCGGAGAAGGAGCAGGAGGUGGAGGUACUUCAGAUCAACGGCAUACAGGUGGAUCCGAGAAGGGCAACUCGCUUCGAUGUCUACAUCGCUGCCCCGCGCGGCGACCUCGCAGGGCCGGGUCUUGGGGAGUUCGCAGGCAUCUUCCUGAAGCUGCCGUACAAAAGGGAGGACAGCGUCGUCGUGAGGACGGCAGGUCUCAAGCUGGGUCUCACCUCACUGCUGGACGACAUGAAUGCCGAUGACGCUGAAAAGCUGGUGGUCUCUUUGGUUCUUCGUGCGGGCGACGUUACUGUGGGAGAUAUUAGUAUCAAUCUGAGGAAGACUGAUAUGGCCAGAGAUAUGUAGAAGAUUAUGUUUUCCAAGUACGUGGCCGGAGUUGUAUUGUGCACUCCAAAGCUUGGGGGUGUAAUCCACGGUUUAAUCUGAUUUAAAAUGAUACGUCAACGCCAACCAUUUGAGCUGAUAGCCUCUUCUUGCAUAUUCCAAGUUAAAACAUAUAUUUUCUUUACAAUGCGAUGAAUGCUUAUGCUUUGCGGUGUUAUAUCUUAAGCUCAAUGGUUUGUUGUUGUUAUUGUUGUUGUAAUAUUCCUCCUCUUCGUCGUCUAAGUUUAUUAGCUUUUUAUUCUUUAAUUGGGGACGUCUCAACUAAUGGUAACGACACAAAUACGCCGCCGUUGGCCUUUGAAAUUUAUUACAUUUGGAGGAUUGAUGAUAAAAAAGAAACAAACCUCAUUCAUCCAAACUAAAACUAAACCCCGUAUAAUCUCCUCCUACUUCUAUGCCCACUGAGAGAAAGAGAAGAAAAAUACUAUGACUUAUGAUUUCAAUAAACAAAAAUUUAUAAUUUAUAUAAUGGUUUAAUUUUGAACAUUUUUAUUCCUCCUCUAUGAAUUGUCCAAAUCCACCUUUGCCUGGAAUAAUACAAAGAUGAUACGCUUUUUAAUAAUGCAUAGAGUCAGUCAUCUGCUGCUUUUGUUACAACGCUGACCUUCCAAAGUAGGAAGAAGCCAUAAUUCAGAUCUAGGGACAGAACAAAUAAAAUAAAAAUAAAAAUGGGAAAGGGUGGAUAUGAAAAGGAGGGCAAAACUAUGACUAGGAGAUGAUCAGUGAAAGGAAACUGCAAGACAGACAUGAAGCAUCUCCAAAGAUGCCAUACUAUCUUAGACAUCUGCAAUCAUUUGGAACAAAAAACACAAAAAAAAGUGCAUAAAGAAUAGUAGCAAUGUCUCAACACGGCACAACCUGAUGUCCAGCGCACUGCAACUUGGAAGAUGUUUCCAGCAAUCUUAACAAACUCAGCCGGUUCAGCUUCACCACUUCCAGUUCACCAGGUGCUAACUUUUUUCUUGUGCGAAUUGGUAUCGAUUCAUGAUACCUGACUACAGCUGCAUCCUACUCUUGGUAAGCAGGAACCCCGACGCAUGCUUCAGCAUCAACACAAGUAAUAUAGCAAAAACAAGAGCAGAGGCGUGCAUAUUCCAUGGUAACUAGGCACGACCGAGAGCACUGAAUUGAGAUCGAUGCACAAGAAAAGAGCAUCCUUCAAUGGAUAAAAAAGUAGAUAUCAGCUUAAGUGGAUUCAUCUUUUCAUGACUAAACCUGAAAAGGAUUCAAAUGACACUUUUUUUUUUAUAAUGGGAGACCUCUACUCGGACCAAAACUUGAUAAAACCAGUCACAAAAGCUUUUAUUGCAUUCCACACUGGAUUGGUUUUGGACUGGAUCUCCUCGUUAGCAUUUGCAGACUUGCUGAAAAGGCACAAGAAAUUGCUAGUCAAUGCCGAGUACAUAUAUGACUAAGAAAAGAUUUGCGAUCUAUUUAGAACUGGUGGUAUACACUAUCAUACAAGGCUCGUUUCUCAAAACUCCUCCAGUCCUAAUCAGACCCACAAUGCAUUCAUUCACUUGAUAACACUAGAAAAAGAAUAAAAGUCAUGAGCUUAUGGCCCAUAAUGUCAUAGACUAGAUAUAGCAAGAUAAACUUCCCGUGAAUGAAAAUCAACUGCUGAAUGGGAUGGGGGGGCUUUCACAAAUAAAAGUACAUUGUCAAUAUUGAUAAUGUCCUAGAUAGGAUAUUAUGCUAAGCUCUUUGCCUAUUUUUGCUUAUCAACCGGAUUGCUUGGAGUACAAAAAAUUGCUGGAAUCAUCUAUAACAAACCAAAAACCAUGUUGAGUUUUACCUGCUACUCCUGUCCAUACUGCUAUCUUCAGUUUUAUGCCCAGUCUUUAAUGGAAUCGUUGAUAUUUCCUGCAUGGUCGGCAUAAGUGAUUCGGCAGAAGCACAUUCAGUUUUUUGCCUGGAGGUCUCCAUAUCAGAAGCCUUAGGCACAGGUGGUGUCUGCAAAAAUGGCAUACGAGAAUAAUUCCAUUGGUCCACUUUGUCAGACGUGCGGUGACAUUAGCAUGGGGAAAAUAUAUAUACGACAAAAAAAAAAACUGAUGCUGAAGAAUAACUAUCUGUGAUACUAAAAAUAUAAACGAUAAAAAUAUUAUAAAAAACAAAAAAAUAAAAGAAUCAUGAAAGAUAAUUACUAUAUGUUGUUGUCGACUUGUCAUUGUUAUUGUUGUAUUAAAGAUAAUUACUAUAUGUUUAUGAGCAAAUAAAUUAAAUUGCACAAAUAUAUUUCAUAAUAACUAUUUUAUAUACCAUACAAAAUAUUCAAAAUUUAUCAAUAUGUAACUUUGAAUAUAUCCAUAAGUCCCACUAUAACUCCAUUGCUUCUUUAAUCAUUUUCAAUUAUAGUGCAGAAAAUACAAAAAAUAAAUAAAUAAUGGCUUGGAAUUUAUUUUUCGAGAGAAUCAAUCCUGUUUCCUUAAGAGGUUAAAGACUCCUCUCCGCUCUUCCCUUUUCUGUUUUUCAUAGCUUCUCUCUAUCUUAUAUGACAUUGACUAAAGGAUAUUGCAACUAUAAGUGUACUUGGCAUAUGUAAUGAUUGCAAUAAAAAUUAAAUAUUGUGUCUCCUCUGUCUUACAAUUCUAAAUUCUAAUUAUAUUUUUUGUAUCUCUUUAUCUCAACUUCUCUCUUCUCCUUCACUCCUACUCACUUUUCUUUCUUAUUUUCGGGUUUUGUUAUCAGCUAAAAUUGGCUAAAAUUUGUCGGCUCCAUCCGACUUUAGUUGAUUCUAGCUAUUCCCACAAAUUUGUAACAAUACAAUUAAGAAAUCGGUCAACCUUGGGUUAUACUAUUCAAAUCAAGUCUAUCAAAAUCAUUCAAAACACUGUACUAUACUAUAACAUGAACUGUACCAGUAUUAAACACUACUAUAACAUGAGACUAACAUUUUUUCAUAUAUUUCUUAAAUAUCAAAGAUAAAUUUCAAACUCGUUAAUUUCCUUGUUAGAAGGUUUUUGCGACCUGAGAGACCAGGGUUCGAGUCACGGAAACCUUUUUAAAUAUUUAUGGGUAAGGCUAUGUACAUUGACCCUUCCCAGACCCCGCAUUGACGAGAGUCUCGUGCACUAGAUACGCCCUUUUUAGGGUUUUUAAGUGCAGCAAUAGCUCUACAAGUAUAGAUGUUUACAAUAUAAAUAUGGAUGUUAGCAAAGACUUUAAGCUAUUUGGAUAAUUAUGCUACUUUUAAUGUAAUAAAGUUAGCAUAUAUAGUUGUAUAGUUAAUAACUCUAGCUUUCUCAUGUAGCUACAUACCCUAACCCUGUAAUAAUACUAAGCUUUGUCAUGAGGAAACACUUAUAUUCUUAUGAAGAUCGUACAACAACCUAUUUAUCCAAUCAAGCAGCAACACAAAAUUAGUUUCCCAUCACCUGCUGAAACUAAACUUCUAAUAGAGAAAAAUGCAAGAAUGAAGAGAUUUAGUCUCCUUCCUAAAUUUUGUUGGUUGCAUCUUUCCGAAUAUCAUCUUCAGUUAUUUAACUACCAUUUCCCACAUGCAACUAGAUCCCUUACUUGACCUGAAUAACAUCUAAUUGACCUAAUCAAUUGGACACCAAUUCCAAAACAAAAGAUUCAAGGUACACCAUUAUCAAUUUUACAAUAUAGGAAAUAGAAGGUAAUCAUGACAAUCUAGCAAAAUUCGAGAAGCUGGUAGACUGUUAGCCAAACCUAGGCCUUCAUAUGACUGAAUGUAUACAACUAGGACUCUUAAUCAAACUACAUCUACUAGGCUUUAGCUUAUCAUAUUUCUUCAAUUUAUACUAAAUUGCUAAAAUUACUGUGAUCAAACUAACUUGAUCAUAUAACAAACAGAUUCCAUGGAGAGUAAAAAUAGAAUUUCUCAAACGAAAAUGUGUAAUACAGUAACAAGUACAAAAUAUAGAGAGCUUUAAUAUUAUGGCACAAAAUAAUAAAGAUGCCAAAGUAUCAUACAACCAGGUAAAUAACAACACAAGGCAGAAUGAUUGUAGAAACCGACCUCAGCCUGCAAAAUGCCAGAUGGAGGGAAAAUCAGAUUUUCUGAUACCUGCGACAUGGAGUUGGUUACUUUAUCAUCUAAACUGGAAAAGGUAUUUUCUGGAAGCUCUGUUCCAUUUGGAAUGGAAAGCUCGUCAUUGGAUGACUCUUCCUGCACAUUUGACAAACUUUGGAUACUCGCAACAUCCUGGGGUGUAACUAAUUCGUCUGAGUCAGUCUUCAUAGCAGAAGAUACCAAUGAAGAGAAUUCUUCUUCAGAGGAAGCUGAAUUACUAAACAAAUGAUCAGAUGUGGUCAAUGAGCUUAUAAAAACCUUUUCUUCUGGUAAAGCAUCUGCCGUGCUAGUCUCAUAAUUCCCAUUUUCUGUUGACAUGUUAACUGUCUCAGCAAGACUCUUGCAAUUGUUUUUUACAUCUUCAUUCAGCAGCAGCUCUUCUUCUGGAGAAGUAAUUGACGAAGUCUCAUACAAGGGUUCUGGUUGCUUAACCUGAUGAAAUUUGUUUCUUUCUAUAUCACCGUGAACUGCAGAACGACUUUCUUCAUUGUUUCCUGUCUUGUCAUAUGUCCACGAUGAUGGCUUUCUCAAAUUCACUUCCUUGGACUCUGUGUUGAUUAGAUUAUCAUGCUCAUUAUCACCACUGGAGCAUUGCUGUAAAUGACUGGGACUGUGCUGUAUGACAUGAGAGAACAAAUGAUUAUUUUGACCAGAUACAAUAAUUUCAUCGAAAUCAGGUUGUACUAAUUGUUCAUUGUCUUCGCCCAGGUGUGCUUGAGAGGAUAUUUCUAUCUGCUUCUCAUCAACUGCAAGCUCAAUAGAUGAUGUAAACACUUCAUAGUGAGGAUUGAUGGCAAAAUUUUCUGACUCAUGUUCCUCCAAGCAAUCUUCAAGGGUAAGUGCUUUCAUACUUGGACUACCAGGACCCAGCACCUUAUUCUUCUGAAUUAUAUCUCGAACAAUCUCCCUUACUAUGUAGAAAGACCCACCAACUUCCUUGUGUGUUAGAUUAAGAGAAGGAAAUUUUCCAUUAUUUAAUGUUCGGUACCUGAAAGCAGUUUUGUAACAAUGUUUUAUGUAACACAUUCUGAUAAUGUGAAACACAGUUUUGAAUAACUUCAAGAUCAUAUGGCAUAAACAUUACUAUGAGUUUUAUCUUCAAGAUGUCAGAUAUAAAAUGCUACUUCAGUACUUGUUCCUAAAUGCAUAGUUAAAAUUAGUAAAUAAUAUAUGCAAAGAUUUGCAUAAACGAGAUAAACCAGUUGCAAAUAGUGCAGAAGACAGAAUUGAGCUCCCAAAAGAACAAAUACAGAUAGUUAUCUCUACUUGUAGGGAUAAGGCUGUAUACAUAAACCAUAACCAAAGCCACAUUGGCGGGAGCAUCAUGCAAAAGGGUCACUUUUUUUUGCAAUCAAAGACUUCCAAAUCAGACAAAAAGAAUGCACCAAGAACUUCAAUGAAUCUGCAAAAGUGUGACUGGCCAAAAGUAGAAUAAUUAAAGAGAACCAAAGAAUAGUAGGGUAGGUAUACAGUCAUGGUUAAGAAAAUCCAUAAAGGGAAAUUGAGUUUGUAAGUUUGAUUAGUGAUUCAUGCAUAAUAAAUCAAGAUUUCCAGAUUAUCAUAUAGAGGCAAAUUGUGUCUUGUAGCUAUAAGAUGGUAGGAAAGUUGAAAAUAUAGAUGAUUUCAUUUCAACUAUAGCAUAAUCCAUAAAAAUGGCUUUUGGAUCACUACAUUAAAUGGGUUCCUUAAGAAUAUUUUAGAUGCAAAAGUCGGAGGACGAGGCAAAUAAGCUUACAUUAAAAUAUUUGUCACUGAUUAGCUGUUAUAUUUUGUAAAUUAAAAGUUGGACAAGAAAAUGUGACACUUCUAAGUUAUUGUGUUGGACAGCACAAGGUGGUUGUGCUAUACUUCAAUCCUGCAUAUACUACUUGCUAAUGACAAUAAUAUGAUUUGUUGAAUUGAAGAAGUCCUGCAUAUUAAACUUCCAUUAACUAUUGCAAGUUGCAAUUAUUUGGUCAACAACAAUAAAAAUGUUCAUGGCAGAAAGGAUAACCCCAAAAAGGGGAGUUAUACAAACAAAUUCAUGCAACAAACUAGCAAAUGAAUCUUUUGAUAAGAAGCCAGAUGUUGAAGGAAACUUUUAUUACUUGUCUAUAAAAGACUCCACCAAUGUUCUCCUUUCCUCCCUUGUUUUUCGACGCCGAGACUUCUUGUCUUUCAAAUCACAGCAUCUAAUUAAAGCAAAUCUUUGAUGAACACAGCUAGUGCUUAGACCCUGCAUGCUGCCAAAUGUUUACCAAUUUCUGGAAACAACCUGCAUAAUGUCAAGAGAUGAAGUUUGCCAUAAAGUAAGACAACAACAUCUCAUAGUGUAUAUUACAAUCUAACGCCAGAGGUGUUCAUGUUAGAACAUCUAAAACAUUUACUAAUGGAAAGAGAAUAACUUGGCCAUGUAAAUCAUGAUAUACACAACAAAAGCAAUAUUGAAUCUUGAUUACCAAUAGCAAGGUUUGUCAUACCGUGGCAUACCGUUUUGUCACGGACAAACUUCUAAACAAGAUGUUUGAUGUAAUGCUUAUGUAUGUCCGUGUCUUUUGGUUUGUUCAUGCUUUGUAUAGCAUGUAGAGGGAUGGUCGAAGGCUUAACAACCCCAUUUUAGUUGGGUUUAGUGAUCGUUUUAGGCUUGUAAAUAAAGGUUGUGUCAUGUGGACACUUGUGAGAGAUAUUCGGUCUGUAGUGGACCAUUUUGACCCUUUGUUGUACAACCGUUCAGAGCUUGUAAAGUUUGUUUGUAAUUUGCAUUGGUUAUAAAGUGUUUUCUGAAAUGUUUGUUUGUGGAGCCCGAGAGAUGCGCUUUCUCUAACCCGUUUUCUCUUUUGUAGGUCCUAAGGGACCAUGGGAGGUUUUGGGGAGGCUGACCUUUGCGGACGGACACGCAAGGGUGCCGCACGACUUAGGCAAAACUAGCUAAGUCUGUGACAGAUUGGUACGGGUGGUACAUACCAUUCCGAUAGGAGACUGGUACAGGCGGUAUAUCAGUAUGUCUCCAUGUAUCAUGUGUUAAUACAGCUCGAUACAACUCAAUAUGUAUCACACCGACAACUGGUCGGUACACCGGUAAGGCAAACCAUGACCAAUAGAUUAUACACAGUUGUCUUCUACUAGGAAAAAAUAUAAAGAAAUCAUGGUCAAAAAGCAAAUAAUCCAACCCAUUAAAAUGUAAGGAUAUGGUUCGUAUACAGACUGAAAUUACUAAAAAGACCUGAUAUCUAAAAUCUAAAACAUAAAAGAGCUCCAUAAUAUAGUUUCAUGACACUUGCAAGGAAAGUAAAGUCCUCAACCCUUUUUUCCACAUGUGAACCAAAGACUUCAUGACCCAAAAUAAAUAAGGUGGUCCAAGAAUUCAGAAGAACCUAUUUCCUUACAAAGUAAUAGAAAGUAGAAUAAUAUUAAAAAAUAUUAUCCCACUUUACCAGUUGCAGCACAAAAAAAAACCAAAACAUGUUUCUUUUCAGCUUUGCUUCCCUUCUUUAAGCUUAGGCAUUCCACAUCCUUAUCAUGCAUAGCUCUAUUGUCGGAAGCACAACAAGAUGAUCAACCACCGUCGAUCUUCUCCAUAGCAUAAAUGUUAUUAAUUGUGUCUACCCUUAAUCAAUACCUCCUCUCCCUCCCCCACCCCCCUUUUCUCUACUCAAAUGUGCUCCUCUUUGCUUCUCACAUUUGGGAUUAUCAAAAACAUGGAAUUAUCAACAACUUGACUUGCUCUGCGAGGCAAAGGCAAAAAAGAAACAACAUAUAUUCCAAUGUGCAUGUCUAAAUGAUAGAACAGGGGCUAAAAAAAGGGUAAGAAACGGCUAUAUUUUCUAAGGAGAAAAUUACACACCAGGAAAUCCAAUGUGCAUGUUGAAAUGCCAAAACAGGGGCUAAAGAAAAAUAGGUAGGAUACAGCUAUUUCUUUUUAAUUCAUUUGAGAUCAUAAUUACUCUUAUAUUUAUCAGAUACAAAGGGAUGGAUCAUGCACACAAGAGGGUCUCAAUAAAGGCACAGUUGAGUACUCAUCCAUGAUCAUAUGCAUCCAUUAUCCAAAUGAUCCAGCAUGGCUUUCGUAUGCUGACCACUGUGACUUCCACCAAAAAUUAUGAUAAGACAGUAUUGUGAUAGCAAUGACAUAGCACAUCAGGAUACCUCACAAUAUGAAUCAUGCCUGGGCAUGCUUCAUCAAGAGCUAGAUGUCAUGUAGUGAAUAGGAACUUGAUGGGUAGAUCCACCCACACGUCUUGCAUUUACUGCUAUAUCACAAGUUACUCAACAUGUUGCUUCACGUAAAACAGAUGGCCAAAUUUGUGCUGAUUGAUUUUAUAUUGUUAUGUACUAUAUAAAUUAGCAUGUACAAACAUACUACUUAAAAUACAGACAAGACACUUAUACAACUUAUACUUGGUGUUUUGAAAAUCUGCUUGGGCUCUUGCCUAGGCGCUCAAUGAGUUGCUUUAAACAAGCGCAAUUCGGGAGCACACCUAAGCUCAGGCGCCAACAACUCAAGCAUGCACCUGCAUCACUUGAAGCAUGGGUUAGACUGAGUCAAUCAAAUCGAAUUAGUUGAUUCAGUUGAACCAACUAAUUCAACCACUUACUCCUCAGCACUCGACCCUUUCUGCCAACAUAAGAAAACCCUAUGUCGUCGUUGUCGUUUGUUCCUCCAUCAUCUGAUGCUUCGUUACUCCGUCUUACACGUCGAUUGUGGCCUUUACAACCUUCCUUCGCCCUAUGCACCACUUGGCUGAGCCCGAUAUUGCAGCCUUCCUUCGCUAAAUGUUGCUUCCUCAACCGAGGUGCCAUACUCCCCUGCUUUCCUACUCGACUCCGUCAUACACAUUGCUACCUUCAUCUACCCACUAGUGAAGGUCAUCCUCUCCAUCUCCUCUUUCUCACAGUAACACUGCAACUUUGAUCUCUAUUCUUAUUUCCUACAAAUGAUCUCAGUAUAAGCACUUUGUUAGAAACUUAUGACAAAAAUAACACCCUGUUAGGACCUAAGAAGCACAAACACGUGCUUUUGGUGGAUGUGUCCUUGACCGAUACGUGUCGGACACUCAUGUGCAACAUUGUACACACGUGACCCUCACAUGAGAGUCAUAUGCUUCGCAAGAAAAGAAAUCUAAAGAUUGCCGCAAGGAAGCAUAUAUCAAUUCUAUCUGGACAUUCGUAAAUGUUAUUUGAUGUACUCAACCUUUAUUUUGUAUACUGAAGUUUGUAUUAUUUUAAUUUUUUUAACCCGUUUGAUGAUAUUUAUUUGUUCAAAUUAUCGAGUUUAUAAAAUUUAAAUAUAAAUAUUAUAAAACUCAUGUUAAACGAAUAUUGUAUACAUUAAAAAAUACAUGUGUCCUCGCCGUAUCUGUGUCGGCAUGUCGCCAUGUUCGUGUCGUGUCAUGUCUGUGUCUGUGUCCAUGUCUGUGCUUCUUAAGUUAGGACUUUCCAUCACCAUAUUAGAUGGAAAUAAACUUGAUUAGAGCGCGACAAACAACACCCUACAGCUGUAGCAUACUACAUGAUCUAUUGAUAUUAACAUAUUUUUUAAUUUAUUUCGCCCUCGAUGUUCAAUCCUUUCUAUAUUUUAGGAACAAUAACAAUUAAUGUAUUUCACCUUUGAUGAUCGAUCCUUUCUAUAUUUUAAGAAUAAUGACAAGUAUAGAGAGUAACACAAAAGACUCGACAAAAAAAAAACUCAAGCAAGGAUCCUGGUUGGAAAUACAACUAUCUAAAGGAUCCUAAAGAUCCUAAUGUCAUGACUCAUAUUUUCUACUAGAGGUGACAUUUUUCAUGUAAACCAACAUGGAAAAAACAAGUUACACACUUAUAUGAAUGGAAGCAAAUGUCUUAUGAAUUAGAUUCUCCUCUUUUUUAGGUAAAUUACUCCAAGCAAAAGGGAUUCACCAUAUGUUUUUCCUACAUGACCAUUCAAAUCUCCUUCAAUUAUAAGUUUUUCCGGUAUAGAUAUUCCUUAAAUGAUAGCAUCUAAGUUCCCACAAAAAUCUCUUUUGGUUUCAUAAUCUAAUCCAACUCGAGGGGCAAAAUUCUCUUUUGGUUUGAUCAUCUAAUCCAAUUUCAGGGGCAUAAACACUUAUGGCAUUCAAAACAUCUUCUCCUAAGACAAACUUUAGAACUAUAAUUUUAUCUCCAAUUCUUUGCACAUCAACAGAAUUGUUCCUAAGAUCCUUAUGAACGAUUAUUCUUAUACCAUUUAAUUGUUUAAUUUUUUCUAUGUAACAAAUUUUAAAUCAAGUACUAUCAAGCUUGGACCGACAUUGGCAAUGUUAACAUAAGCAGUGGUACAGGUCAUUAUAAAUUGUUGCCAAUUGCCACAACUAAUAAGUUUACUGACCAAAAUUUAAAUUGUUUUCAUAAAUAAAUUAUUUAUUUUAGAUAUAGCUUAAUCUAGAGGAACAAGGGGUGUGUUACAAUGUUACUUAAAUUUGAAACCAGAACAAAUUACACCACUAUCAACUAAACAAAAUUAAAGGUAUCUCUGGUUCGAGUUGGAUAAAAGGCCUCGCACUAUCAAACUAAAUUAUUAAAUUAAAAUAUUUAUUGCAUUAGUAAAGGAGAAUAACAAUGCAGGGAAUGCUUUUCUCAUACACUAUAGUCGUGCGGGCAAAGUUAAUUUCAUAACCCCACAAAAUUCUAGCAAAAUGAAGGCACCAAGAACUCUUUAAAGACCAAUCCUAAUAUCAAAAUAACUUUACAUUAUAUCAAUAAAAAUGAACUUCUUUAAGGACCGUCUCCAGGCCGGUUCACAAUCAAUCCAAUUUAACUUGACAGACGUCACCAUUAAGAAAAGGUUAAAACCCCUCAGCUAGCGAUCAUAGCAAAUAAUAGAUAAUAGAAAAACCAAUAAUAAUAAGACCCCAAUAACCACCAUAAUGUUAGAAAUCCCAAAGGCUACUACGUCAUUGAGAAAAGCUAACAUAAAAAUUGAUUGAAAAUAAUAAAUCUGCUUUGAAACCAAAACUACGAUCAAAUGAUAUACCGAACUUAACAUUCGAAUCAGAUGAAAACUUCCAUUAAAAAAGAACAAAUAAACGAAAUCAAAGGGGAAAAAAAAAUGAAAACCAACCUCAAAAUUCGCAGCCCAAUCUGCUGCCGUCCGACAUCCACCUAAUGCCAGUCUUUGCUUGUAUGUCGCCACCGACACAGCGUAUCUUCAACGGCGGUCAUAUUUAGGUAGAGAGAGAGAGAGAGAGGUAGGAAGUAGGGUCUAGCGCCAGAAAAUGAGGAACGAGAGAGCGCGAGGAAGAAGACGAAGGAUCCGGGAGAGCGACAGACGGACCGACGAGAGGAAUCGGGGAAGAGGGGGAGAGGGGAGCGUCGAAAUCGGAAGUAGGGGAUAAGAGGGUCGGGUAACCCCAUGGUUAGGGUUUUGCGGUUUUUCUUCGUAGAUUGCUCAGGCCGUGAUCGAACCGAGUCGUUCCGAUCGCACGAACUGAACCGGACCAAAUUAUCGGCUUUGGUUUUUUUUUUUUUUUUUUUUUUCUUUCCACUCUUUUUUUUAUCCCAAAACUGAAUCAGACUAAAUUAUCUAAUUUGGUUUUCUUUCUUAAAUUUUUAAUACACAGAUAUUAUUUUUGGGAUAAUGGUGAAGACAGACAAAUCUUAAUUCUAACAAAGUUUUUUAUUGUGUAUCUGAUUAGAUUCAUAUUUUUCAAGAAGAUAUCUAAAUUACAUUUUAAAUUAUUUUUCGUUUUUUUUCAUACGAAAAUAAUUAUUUUUCGUUGUAUCGAAAAUAAUUAUUUUUCUUAUCAAAACUUAGUCGGUUGAACCGAUCGGUUACAACUUCAUCUUCACGAGAUACAAUUAAAUCAAAAUAGCUCUUGAGAAAUAUACUUUAUUUUUUUUCACUACUAAUUAGGGAAUAUAUUGUUACGAUGUCAUGUUCUUCGCGGAGAAAAGAAUGGCCAAAAGACAAAAAGUACUAACUGAUCGUUGAAAGGAUACGAGAUAGAGAUGUUGCUACUGACAAAUCUGUCUUUGAGUCAUGACCAUAUCGUCCUAGAAGAAUAUUUUCACCUUAUUCAAACAUGAUAACCCUAAAAUUAGAUUGGGAGGUCGCAUCAAUUUCGAGAAAUUUCAUCUGUAUCACUACUAUAAUAUUUUAUUCAUAAUCAUAAUAACCUAAACACUACCCUUAUCAUCUAUGCAAAGCUUAAAAAUUCUAUUUAAUUGCCAUAUAUAUAUAUAUAUUAUAUAUUUAUUUUAGGGUAAUAUUACUUUCUAUGUUUGAUCAAUAUCACUCCUAUCCCAUUCUAUCAUUCAUGUCUAUUAUUAAUGGAAAAGUGCAUGAGCAUCAAUAUCUUUUGAGUUUGUUAUGCUCUUUCUUCUACCCGAUCCAUGAUCAACCUCUUUGUUGGAUCCAACAUGUGUUGGAUCCGAGUUGAGAGAGCAAUUAAUCGGACCCCACUUACAGCACAAGUAAGUCUGGCUAUGGACGGUCAAUAAACAACAAGCAAGCCCCACGCUGCGUCGGCGGGGCUUUCCUCAUCAGGCAUUUCCCGGCCCGUUAAUUAUGGCCGCACCAUAAAGUCGCGCGUCACGGUACCCACCCGAACGAAAACACCUUCGGAAACAGCUCAUUACCUCCUCCGGCUCGGCGGCCUCGCCACCACCACCGCCACCAUGCCGGGGAUCCACGUUCCUGCUGCUGCUGCUUCCAUCUUCUCCCCCGCGUACUCCUUCUCUUUCGACGAUGACGACGGAUUCGGAGACUUCAAGUUCGCCUCCUCCGUCCAACCUUUCCCGUCUCACCCACCGCCGCCGCCAACGCAGCAGCAGCAGCAGGACGAUUACGACUGGGGCGAUUUCGUCGUCAGCCCGAUUGGAUCUCACCCCGUCGAGUCCCCAUCUCCGCCGCCCCUCUUCGACGCCUUCCCUCCCCUGUACGCCGCCGCUUCUGACAAGAUCGCCGGUGUCAAGCAGUGGGAGAAGCCCAGCGGUGCCCUGCCGCUAUCGAUCUUUGGGGAGGAGGAGGUGGAUGAGCCGGAGCCUCUCCAUCCGCCCGUCCUCUUCUCUGCUUCUUUAUCUUCUUCGAUCCCGGCCAGAGAUCGCAAGGGACCUGUCGCCGCGCAUGGAGAGUUGAGGGAUCUGAUCACCAGUCUCUAUGGACAAGCUUCCCAACCGGUCGGUGGCGACAACGAUGGCCUUUGUUUGGCCGAGGGGAAGGAGGACGAUUCCGACGAGAGCUCCUGGGAAUACAAGGACGCCUCUUCCUCGUCGCCCAAUUCGGUGCUCAAGGUGAUGAUAACAUUGAUAUCGAUGAUGGGAGUUCUGAUGGUGGUGGCGUGGUCUAACUUUGGUUAUUCUUUUUCGCUGAUUGAUCAUAUUCUGGCUCUCUUUUUCUCAGGAAGAUGGAAUACGAAACGAGAAAUCUGGUCUUCAAUGCACCGAAACUGCGGAUUUUAGAGAAAUCGAGGUCAGAAUCGGCAGCCUGUUCACUUGGCCCCUCUUUUUCUUUUCUUGCAUUUUAGCUACCCUUUUCAGUGAGAUUCGAUGUGAGAAUCUGCAGCUUAUUCACUUGGCCCCUCCUUGUUGUCUGUUCUUGCAUUUUAGCUACCCUUUUUAGAGAGAUCCGAGGUGAGGAUCAGCAGCCUCUUCACUUGGCCCCUCCUUGUUUUCUGUUUUUUCAUUUUAGCCACCCUUGACAUCUACAGGGUGCAUUCAGUCCAGUAACUUGUGCAGUAGCUUCUGCAUUUCCCAUUAGCAUUAGAACGUGAAUGUUCCAGUGAAGAAUACAUCUGCCAAUUAUUUUUCAUAUUUGAAGAAAAUAACUAGGUGCGUUCUCAUCCUGAGCUAUUGUGAUGUACAUUUGUGAUAUGAAAAGAAUACUGUGAAGGUUAUUCAAAUUGGAUCUGGAGUUCACUGGCAAACAAAUAGUUAAAUGAAUGUUAGCAAUGAUGGACAAGAUGUCGAUAAUCAAAUUACAGAUGGAACAGGUUCUUUUUCUGAUAUUAGUUCUCCUAAGGAUUUGGAAGUUCCUGAUAAAACAAGAAACACCUAAAAUGAAGAUGAUUGGUUUUCCAGCCUGGAGACUAGCAAUAAAUGAGGUGAAGAUGGGUUCUGGAAUUUCAGUGGUAAUUUUCUCCAGAAUGAUGUUGUAACAACUACUGGACAAGAAGUUGUGUUUCUCUAUUCCUUGGAGUUGCGACAUCAUUGAUUGAUAUGUAUUUUGACAGUCUUAUUAAAGCAUUGUUCUUCUCUCUCUAAAGCUAUGAAAAAUCAAAAUAUUCAAGAUGCUGAGUUGAAUGUGUCGGGACCCAACAAUCAUUCUGAUUUUCUACAUGUUAAAAAAAGCACUGGAUUUCUACCCUAUAUGGAUUUCAGCCUGGGUAGUUUUAUACUGAUCAGCAUAUGGCUGUCCUGAUUGUCCCUUAUGGACUUGAUUGGACUAUUCAAAGGAUUUUCCUAGAUUAUCUUUUAGUAUAUGAAGAAGGAAGGCUUUAUUGAAUGUACGUUUCUAUAGAUCACAUUCAAGUUGCCUUCAGAAAGAAGAAGCACGGUCAGACAACGGUCCUUUUAGCUUCACAUGAAGUUGUACUCAGUGCUAUAAGCUGGCAAAAAUAUUUUAGUGGUUGAAUUGUUUAAGUUGCUGAUGACUGUCAACCGGUUGUUUAUAUGAUGGUUCUUUUUUGAAAUUUGCAAGUGCUGCAGGCAUGUAUUGCAUGUGCUGAACUACGUUUUCUGAAUCAGGUUCAUAGUCAGAGUGGAACUUGGCCCUGAUACCAGUUAAUGCAGGAGGCUUGCAUCACUUAGAAACUUCUGUGCAUAUGAUCUCACUGUUCAUCUGACCUCUUAAACAUAUUUCGUGUAACCCUUUCCAGUCAAUCUAGGAUCAGGAGCUAUUUAAAUUAUUAUAAUGCUUCAUAUAAUUGUUCUGGUUUCCUGAUAUACUACUUUCUUUAUAAUUAAAUACAAAGUUUAACUAAGACUCUGGAAUAGACCAACUAUAGCUGCAUACUAGGUGCAUAGACCUGCUGGUAUUGGUUGCUCACACACAAUCUUGACCAUUGGCUUUGUGGUUCCUAAACAAAGGUGAAUGCAGUCAACACCUUAAUCAAGAUAAACCCUUGCUGGCGCCAUUAUAAUCCUUUAUUAUACUAAGUAUCUUAUAUCAUGUAUGAGGGCAUAAAUUAUAGUCAGCUAUUUUGAAUAUGGUUUAGGAGCAUUAAUCUGUGGAUACACAUCUGAUAAUCACAUAACCUCUUUGUUCAAAAAUUUUCAGGUUACCAGAAGCAUGCGAGAAAGUAACCUAGAUGACUGGCCUAUUCAUUCUCACAGCAGUGUUAAAGAAGAAUCUGAUGUAAGCCCAUAUCAUGAUAAGAAUGGGUAUUUCUAUGAACCUACAUUUGUGGGGAGUGCAACUAAGGAUAUAAUUUCUGGUCCAUCUGCUGGUCUUAGUAACAACAUACUGGACUUGUUUAUUGAGGUUGAUAAGGAAGAUGCUAUUUACUCUGAAAAAGAUGCCACAAAGAAGGGACAAAACUCAGAUAUGGUUGACUCAGUGCAGAGGGAUCAUGAUCUUGGUGGAACUCAAUGGAAGUUCCUAAAGACUUUGGAAUUAGUGGUUAGCAAUCAGGAUCCUGCAUGUGAAAUAAAUAAAUAUCAUUCAACUAAUUUGUCAUACAACACUCCUGUUGAUCUUUACCACAGACUGAAAGAUGGAUCGAUAUUCUUGUUAAAUUGCCAUCUCGAUAAUCUCGAGGUUAGUGCAAUCCAACCAUAUAAUUCCUUCUAUUUGUUUCACUAAAUUAGGUAAGGAAAUUGUUUUUUAUUUGCAGAAAGCAUAUGGAGUUGCUUCUCUUUCUGGUGAACAAAUUAUAGAAAUGAAAAGAAAAGAGGAAAUUAAGGUGAGUUUGAUUUACAAUGUGAGGUCUCUUUUCCUUGGACAUAUUACUUUUGGAUGCUUAAGUUUCGAGGAAGUUAUUAUAUGUGAAGCAUAUUUUUUGUUUUAUUGUUAUCUUCUCUUUCUCUUACCUUAUAUUAACACUAGUACAAAACCAUAGGUGAUUUUACAUUAAUCAAUUACUUUUGAUGCCUUUGGUUCACUUUAUAAUUUAUUUCUUAAUUCAUUUAUUCAUAUCAUCUCUAUGCUAUAUAGCUGUGACCUUUAUUUUGUGUAUUAUGAAUAACAGAUAUAAUGUGAGGAGAUUGAUUAGUCAGAUAGUAAUGAUGUUAAAUAAGUUAUAGCAGAUCUUUAUUACCGAUAAGCACUGCCAUAAUAUGUAACUAGACCAAUCUACAUCAGUAAAAUAUCAAAAUCUUAUAUGUUAAGAAUGAUUAAAUUGUAACCAGUUAUUGUCUAAAAUUGGUCCAGACGACACUGCACAAAGACUACCCAUGCCUAAAAAUACAAUUGCAGUUGACCAACUGAGAUACUUCUUCUUAGUCAUUAGUAACCACUUUCACACUUGCAUAGUUGAUGUUUAGGCGUGCUUAAUUGCAUGGUUGACUGAACCUGUUUAUAGUAGUGGUCCUAAGACCAUCUUAUGAGCCUUCUAGCUUCUCAUCCAACCUCUUAAAUUAAGUUCAUGAAUAAGAAAAACAAAUGGAAAUGCAUCGUGCUUCCUGAGAUAGACCGCCUUGAUUUAUGAGGUCAUUGCAUUCAUUUGAUCAUAUGUCGUCAAAGACACUACAUGUUGUUUUUGACAAUCCUAUUAGCAAUAUCAAAUCAACUUAAACUUUAUGAAACAAGCUUAUGUCAUCCAUCACAUAUAAUUUUUAAUUUGAAAAUGUUAGGUUUAUCAACAAUAUUCUUAAACAUAAAAAAAGACACUACUAGUGUAGGUCCCUAGCCUGUAUGGAAAAGGUAAAGGGUUGUGUUAGGCUACUGAUGUCUAGCACAAAAUUAUAUUAUAUUAUAUAAGUAUUUAUGUCAACCACUUUCACUAUAGGGUUUGUUUGUGACUUGGAAGUGAUGUGAGGCAUCUUCAACAUCCGGUACCAUGAAGUGUCAAGUGUAGGAUGAGAGGUCUUAAUGCUUGGAUGUGGUACAAAAUAAGCAAGGGUCCUCACAUUAUUCUGAAUUGAUGCUUGUAAAAAAGUUGUCCAAAAUCGAAGGGCUAUGUUGACAACUUGUAAUAUAAGAACACUUUAGUAGAAUAUGUAGGUAUGAGAAAACUCUAGGGAAAUUGAUGCUAAUUGAUUUAACAUUUGGUAUGGUUAGUCUAUCACCCAAUAUGAUCUGAGGCAUCUUCACCAUUGGGUACUUCAAACCAAGUUUCGACUUCUUGUGCUAACCGGUUGGCAUGGCACAUUCUGCUCCAUACCAAUAUACCAUGUGUUGAUACGGUGGGGCUUGUCGAUGGUACCAACUCCCCAUAACCCUCGGAAAAUACUUGAAAAUUAGGAAAAAAACAUAGAUUAGGUUUUUAAUUUGGAACUAAAUGCAAGUUUAGUUUAAUUUCAUUAAAAAUAUCUAAAUUAGGAAGGGAUAGUGAAUUAAUUUUUUCGGGCUUUGAGGAACAACUUUGUUGUAUGUUCCCAAUCGUUUUUUCGUUGAUAUUGAAUUAUCUGCAAAGAUAUGACUUAAAUUGUUAUAUUACAAGUUGAAACUUUAAGAUUGAAAUGAAUCAAGUAAUCUUGAUUACUUUGAUACCAACCGUUGUAGAAGAGAGUAUAGAGAAGCAUAGAGAAAGCAAUAGAGGAGUGAGAUUAGAGAGGCAAGUAAGAGCCUAGAAGAGUAGAGAAGAUGCAAGUUUUACAUUCAAAUAUAAAGUGUUUGAUCUAUUGACAAGCCCCACUAUUUAUAGGGGUUUAUGAGCCUUAAUACAAUCAAUGUAGGCAAUGAGUCCCAAGAGUAACAUCCUAGGGAAAUGAUAUGCCUUUCAGAAAUAAAAAAUGUGACUUCUAGGAUACCUAAACAACUUUAAGACAAUUUAUUAUAGCUAAGAAGAAAAAGAGUGCACUUAGUACAAAAGUGUACUUAAUACAAAAAUAGAGUCCUAAGGUUAGCACUUAGAAAGAGCAAAAGACUCUUUAAUUUUUCACACAACCCUUAGAGUUUCUAGGUCAACUAAUUAAUUACCUUUUUAGCUGAUUUCUUUGCCUGAAAUAAACUCUUCGAAAAUCUUUUAUAUAGCUAGAUGGUUCUUCGUCACAAAGUAAGAAGUGUUCAUUGUCCAAUUAUAUCACAUAUGCAUCAAGCCACAUAGUUGAGUGUCGCUCCAUAUCUGAGCAACAUCCAAUUUCAUAAAAAAAGGUAAAUGAAAAUUUGACUUAUUGUUUGAUAUGCAUCAUGAAAGUGUUGUACGACCUCGGAGGAAUGUCAGACACGGAUAUUGUAAUUUUAGGGAGAUUGAUCUACAGAGACCUUGUCCUAAAAGAUCAAUUUCCAAAACAGCAUACCCAAUUUAUAAAAAUUCUUACAAAAGCCAGGAUUGCUGAAUUCAUAAACUAAAUUUUCAUUUUCUCUAGUUCUAGGAUAUAAUUUGAUCGCUAUAUGGUCUAACACAUUUACUUGGAAUGACAAUUCCAAUCAGAUCCCAAUGGCAUAUCGGUCCUAUGCUGCUCCACAAUCAAUGCCUAUGGUAAAAUUUUCUAGGACCACACCUAUCCCUCUCUUCAAAAAUGUGGGUACCAUUUAACCAACAUAUGGAAGAAAUACUAAUGGAAUUAAACUUCUUUCAAGUAAUGAUGCCAAGAGGUUUUCUGACAUGGCAAACGUGAAGCCUGAGUGCCUUGUUGAGGUGCCUUCAACCGCUCAUGUCAGUUGAGGUUCUAAGCUUCAUAGGUGCUCACCUGGACUAGUCUGAGCAACCCAGUCAUCCAAAUCCGUUCCAAAACUAAUUCUCAUUCCCCCCAAGGGUUGCACCCAACACGUCCCCUGCCUUAGCAUUUCUACCACUGAUCUCUCAUUGUUGGUUGUCUGUCCUCUCUUUUGUUAGUAUGUUUCCUCUUCUCUUAUCUCCCUUCCCUCUCCUAUUCCUUUUCUUUUCCUCCCUCUUUCUCCCCUCUCUUCACAUGUGCUCUACCAUUGUCAUCCUCUCUUCUCUUUUCCGUCUGCACUCUUCUUCUCUCCUCUUUUCUAUGUGUGGCCAUCUCUUAUUGCGGUUUUGGUCUCUUCUUUCCCAUCUCUCUUCCCUUUUCUUUUAAUCUCUUCUCUUUUUGCGGCUAGCAUUGACUGUCAUUGUCCUCUCUACCUCAAUAGUCAUCACCACUGUCCUCCCCCCUUCUGGCUUUCGUCCCUCCUCCCUUUCUUCUUUCAUUCCUUUCCUUCUUUCCUUUUCUUCUGCCCUCCCUCCAUUGUUGCCCUUCCCCUUUCAUCGCUUGACUCCUCUCUCUUUCCUCCCUUUUCUUCUCUCCCUUUUCCUUGUGACAUCAAUUUAACAUGACAACAAGAUACCUUUCCAGUGGCAUCGAUAGGUAAAUCAGAAGAACCAUUGUGAAGCACUAAACAAACUUUUAAUGAAAGUACAAUUAUUAUAAGGAUGCACAAGUUUCUAAUGUUUUUACUGUAUGUUUUGCAGCAAAAGUACCAUAGAUGCAAUAAUUUUAGCAAGACAUCAUGUUUUUAUUUGGAUAUUAAGAUAUAAAGAUCAUGUUUUGUUUGAAGUUCUUGUUUUAAAAUUUAUCUUUAUUUUUAUUAUAUUUUUUAUAAUUUUCAUAAUGCUAGCAUCUCGUUUUGCUUGUAUGAGCCCCUAGGGUGCUCUUAAUAACACUGGUUUCAUGAACCUUUAUAUCUUCUUGAAGUUAUAAUUCAUACAUAAACCUCAGGAAAUAUGCCUGAGUGUAAUGUGAUUACAAUGCUAAUUUCUAUUGUAUUGAAACAAUAAUAUGAUGAAUAUUUUGCAUAGCACACAGCACUAUUGUUGCCUUUAAGCACCCAUAUCGCACAUCACAGGGUGAUAUUCUUUUUUUCCCCUACUCAUUUGAAGGUAAUAUUAUAUUUGGCCUGGACUUGAAAGUCAUUUAACAAAUUAAUUUAUUAGUCUUUUUCUUAUUUUUUCUGUGUCAAAAAAGUCAUAGCACGUUUAUCAUUUAGUUUUAGUCUGCUUGCAUUUGAGUAUGAUUUACUUUGAAUCUUAUAUCUUUUUAUAAGCUAUACUUCCUGGCUUCUCAUUUCUCUUGGGUGGUUAAAAUUAGUUAGGCAUUUUUAAUUAGAUUUUUUACAAACUUUUUUAACAAAUCGAGUUAUGUUUAUGCCUAUUUACCCUCCUUCAGGCAGUUUAUAAGAAGCUGGAAGAAGCUAAGGGCACUAGAAAUAUUAUAAGGGGGGAGCACCUACCAGUAGAUGUUUAUGUUAGUCAACUGCUUAAAGCUGUAGAAGAACCAAACUUUCGAGCAUUUGAGCAAGAAUAUCACCUAUCAGAAAGAAUCUUGUCAGUAAGUAUUCUUUAGCUAUUUGCUUUAUACAUAAAACUAUUAAAAAAUCUGUAUCCAAACUUUCGUGUAUGAUGCCCAGAACUUAUGAGCUGUUAGAAACUAAUUCACUUGCUUUAGGCAGGGAAAGAGGCAAGUGCAGCAAUCGAACUUCUUGAACAUACCACCUCAGUACUUCACAUUCUGGCAUUAGCAUCCAGGGAGGAGCAGCGUGCUUAUAUUGAUGUAUGGUCUAAUAUGGCUGUGGCUUGUGUUCAAGAGUUGCAGCAUGGUGCCAAGGUUUUAAAAGAAUCAGUUCAAGCACAAACCUUAAUGCAAAUUUUAUUUGGAGGUAUACUCUCAUACUAACUGAAAUUAACUUUCAUAAAGCCAAACCUGUAACAGAUUUGGCAAAUUCGUUACUCAUCAGCACUGAAUAUCUUUCCUCCUGGCAAAAUUUCAUCCCCUGCAGAAGCUAAAUAUUUCAUUGCCCUUGGAGAGAUUUAUAGAGUUACGGAAGUAUUAAGAGCCUCCAUGAAACGUUACAAGCCUUGGAUAUUACUAAACUGCGGUAGCUUAAGCAAAUUAUCAACUAGCUUGGAUAAGUGUGCAGAGGCAUGGACUAUCUCUGGUCUGGAGGAAUCUCUUAAAAACUUUUCCAAUGCCAAUGAUGCAGAAUAUGCUGGUUUGGCCAAAGCACUCCUUGCAUCCAUCAAAAUCAUUCGUGAUCUUGAUCUCUCUCACUAUUCUUUUAAUCACGACAGAAGAAUUUGCAAAUUAUCAUUAUUUUCCAUGGAAGAAUUACAAGGUACAGUGUGAAUGCUUCUGAACUCUCUUACCUUGGUUAUUAUUCAUAAAGAUUACUAUCUUUCAUGAACUUAUCUCCUCUUUUUCCAAAAAUGGGACAGAUAUGAAAAUGGGGCUAUGGUGUGGGGAAUAUUAUUUUGUCAAGCUAGCAAAUCUCUGGGCCAAUCGGAUAUCUUGUGAUCCUCCUCAGUUGCCAUGCUUACAUGUCUAAUAAUAUGAGAGACUCAGAGACUUGCAAAGGCACCCAGUCGAGGAUUCUAAUGAAACCACAAGUGUCGGAAAAUCUUCAUUUCAUAUGAAGCAACAAGAAUCAUGCUGCAACAUCAUCGGUCUUAAAGGGGAAAGAAUAACCGUAAACCCAGCCCUGAGUUUGUCGUCCACCAUUCUUAUGGUCGAUUUCCUUUUCAGAAUUCUAGUCCAUAGAAAUGCAGUUUGUGGUUGUAAAUUGUGACUCUAUUCUUUCUAUUCUUUUGAUGUAUAUAAAGACAAUUAUUCUGGAGUCUCGAGUCUUCAAAAGAAUCUUGUAUUUGACGACACAAGACUUUUUUGACUGACGCAUUCUCAUUUUCAUUUUCUUCUGACUUGAGUAGAAGAGUAAGAAGGAAAAAAGAAGUGAAGCAUACGAGUCUUUUUAGGUUCUUGUGCGUGUGGUUUGGUGACUUCGUUUAGAGUCUAUUGCUGUCACGUUUCAUAACGUAAAAGCUUUGCUUACUUACAGUCAGUCCGAUCAUGGAAAUGUAAAAGUGGAUUUUUAUUUUGUUUUUCAUUGUUCAUAGUGAAAGUUACUACGAUUGCCACUAUUCAAAAUCUCAUUCAUCCAAAUAUUCGAUUACUAUAUUAAUUUAAUAUUACUUAUUCUUGUCAUUAAAAGCUUCGAUAGAUAGAAAAAUAGAAAGGUCCUCUUGUUUAGUAGACUAAUAAUAGCAACUAAGCAUUUCAUAUCAAGAAUCAUAGUAGAUGAAAAAAGCUUUGAAUAGGCAAAUGUGUGAGAUUAUCGAAUCGCUCCCAUAGGAUUUUGCCUAAGUGGUGGGAACUCUUCUCGAAAGAAAUAAACUAACUUGAGAGCAUGGAAAGAUGCUACCAUAUACGCUCCUCAAUCCUCCAAUUUUUUAGAUGGCAAUCUUGUGACGUGGUGCAAUAACGAAGAGCUACCAAUAAAGAUUUUUUUAUCACAUGCAUGAAUAUUUCUUUCGACCACAAAUUCACCAACAUCAAGCUACCAAAAAAAUAUAUAGUUAUUCUCUCAAGAAAAAUCCAUAUCCACCUUGCAGUAAUCAAAGGCAUGGUUAAUCAAUCUUAUCUACAUCAAUAUUUGAUGGAAUAUGGGCAUCUAUCCAGAUCUGCAGAAAUGCUGUAGAAUAUGAACUUCAUGUUGGAUUUCCCACCAGCCAUUAAAUGAAAAAAAUGAAAAUGAGAAAAAGAAUCUACAUCAUUUCAAUGGACAGCAGCCUGUUCCUGGGCUUAGAUUAUUCUAGGAAAUACAACGGCUUCAAUUCAAAACCUUUUAGUAAGAAAUGAUAAUGAACACAAGAACAUCAGGAGUCCAAGAACAAGAAAAACUAUGGUGCCUAAACAAACUCACCAAAUACCCAACAUCUAUGAUGUAUAAUUCCCUCGACCAUCUACAGAAAAUAAUCAUGUUUUCCUGUAUAUCACAAUAGGCAAUUGCCUAUUUACAUCAAAUAGUUGUUGAAUUUUACCCCAGAUUCUAGUGCUGCUGGGGUAAAAUUUCUAGGCAAUUGCCUAUUUACAACAAAUACUUGGCAACUGACAGUAUCCUAUACCAACAAGCCUCACAAAAUCCUGAAAUCGACCUUUCAACAAUGGUGGCUCAAUCUCAGAAGAGCAUGUAAUAGAUCUCUCAGAAAAAUGGAUCUUCUGUAAUGAAGUUGUUCACUGCAAGUUGACCAAUGGAGUUCAGAACCUUUACUCGCUCAGCUUUACUCUCGUGUUGCCAAUGACAGUCACAUUUUGAAGCCUCAUGAACUCAGAUCUCAUGAAGAGUGCAUAUAGUAGUUCAUUCCAUGUAUCUGGAACCCCAGGUAAGCACCAGUGGCUGCAGUCCUGCCUGUGGAGUGGAGAAGGACCCAACUUGCCAAGGUAAAACAAGGAUAAAUGUCCGUCUUUCCUUCGGGCUGUCAUCUGUGUCACAUUCAACAGAUCCAGUUCUAGAACCUUGGUUGCAGUAGAAUUUUCCAAGGGCACAUUCCUAAGUGGCCUCAAGAAAUGUGACCAAGGUUUUAAGGAUAACCGUGGACCUAAAUCCGGUAGUGUCUCCAAGUGACAAUUCCCGCCUGUUUUCCAGUCGCCACUUCUGCGCAAAGCCACAACAUUUCACAAACCAUCAUAAUCAAGUAAACCACCACCCACUUUGGAAUUGAAGUUUCUGUAUUCUGUGAUAACAGUUAUAUGACGUAAAGUUCCAUUAAAAGACAAUCAUGGGUCAUUUUUUUGCCAUCCAUGAUGAUAAGCAUUUAAUUGAUAUUAGAAAUAACAAAAGGGAACAAAAUCUGAUUUAGAUAUUGUGAAAGGUAAGGUUCUUGCACCAAGAGUAUGGUACAAGAGAUUUAGAUCAUCAACUGUUCGCCCAUGAAUUGAUUGUUUCUGAGAAGCAUCAAUGAACAUAACAACAAGAGAUUCAGAUCAGAUUGUUCAUAAGUUGACCAAACUGGCAUUUAAACUGUAAUUUGUUCAAGAAUUCUAAUGUGUACUAACUGGUUGCAUAGGCCAGUUAAAUUACAUGAUUAGCAAUUAUGCUAAUCAUGAUUUUUACUGCACCAGUGCAGUUAAAGAUCACCACACAAGUAAAAAAGUAUGGUUGAGACAAAUUAAUUCCAUUGUGAUUUUUACUCAAUACAAAUUCACCAAAUUGCAGAGAACCAUAUACUAAGAAAUAUCAAUGGCUUCGAACAUAAUUCUCCAUACAAGUAAACCUAUGCUUGAGACAAAAUAGGGGAACCACAGUUCAUUUCUGCACCCAUGAUCAUGCAUGUAUGUGUGCAUGCAGUUAGGUACAAGACCUGGAGCACCUGUAAGCAGGGACGGGUUUAGGGAGGGACCAUGGAUACCAUUAAAUGACUCAUUCAUCCUAUUUAAUGUGCCCAUGCAAAUUCUUGCAUACAAAUGUAGCAAGUAAGCAAUUUUUUUUUAUUAUGUAGAAGGACAUGGUAAUUCAGAAGAAAGAAAGAUUGAUCAAAUUAAAUAAAACUACUGCUGAAAAUGGACUAAGUUGUGGAUCCUUUGACCAGAUAGCCGGGAAUUUGCAAUUUGUGGUACCUAUAUAAAAAAACAAACCUUCUGCUCUAUUCCAGUCCAUAACAUUUAAGCCACAAUGAUUUAAGAAAAGGAAUUCUAUCAUAUUAAAUCAUAACAUAUUGCACUGUCCAUUAAUAAAAAUGUGGACUAAGUUUUCUCUUUCUAUACCCCCCUCCUCUCUUCGCCAUCUUCCCUCAUUUUCCUCUCUUUGCAAGAAAUAGAAAGCCAGUCCUCCAAAACAAGCCAACUAAUUUGUGAGCGCACGAGAGGUCAUUCCUAGAUGCUUUAAUUUAUUUUGACCUUUUAAAACAAUGAAUGGGAUAAUUGACAUCUUGAUGUGAUGCCUGGAUUACUUCCAACAUAGAAAGUGAUAUUCAGGUCACAAGUUCAUUAUAGCCAACAAAAUUUUAAAAAACGAACCAAGGAAUGCAAUUUCUGUUAUUGAAGCUGUGCCAGUCUGUGGCUGGGAAUGAUAAGGAAGAAUGAGAAGAUGAGGAAGAAUGAGGGGAUGACAAGGAAGAAGAGGAGGAAAAAGAGGGGAGACAAUUGGUGGCGAGCAGUAGACAGUCAAGAGACACACACAUAUAUGCACACACACACACAUGUAUAUAUAUCUAGUGAAUCAAACCCAACCGCCCGGUUUGGGCUGCUCUGCGUGUUAAUCGACAAUUAAAUACUGAACUGAUCAGUUUUGCAAUGCAUGAAAUGAACUAUAAUUUGUUGUUGUAGAAUAAUUUAGAUCCACAAAAAAUAUUCUUGUAGUUAAUAUAGCUUUAUUUCUAAAUGUAUUUAUUAUAUUUGCAAUUUUCCAUCUAAUGAUUACAGAAUGAAAACAAUAAUGUAGAAGCAUUUAAAAACCUUUAAGAAUUGCAUAGUUUGUCUCUUAUCAUAUUUGGCUGUGGUAAAUUAUAUUAAUGUUGACACUAAAUAUCUCCUAACCAUGUCCAAUGUGUCCCACUGAAUUAAAGUUCCCGCCUCUACUGUAUAUGAUAAAAAAGAUUGUCUUUAGCCCUCAUCGGGCAACUACAAGAUAGCAGCACUAGGAAAGCUAUUGUAUAUAAGAAAAAAAAGUUCUUUCUUUACUCCUCAUUGGACAACUGCAAGAAAGCUGUUUCUUGGUAGAAGAUAGUAAAAUUAAAUUUGAGGCAUUUCAAAGCUAGAAUGAUACCUAGAAUAUAAGCAUCGCUAAGAUAUGGAUAUCUAUUGUUAUCAGGGAUAAAACCAUGUUUAGUCUCACUAUGGUUGGAGAGUUAAGAGUCAAGGCCUAAUAAAGAGUCAAAGUUGACCUCUCUCAAACACACCUUUUAGGUCCAUAUUGAAAGGAUAAAACAGUGUGGGGCCUACCAUAGAGCAGACAAUUAUCACAGCUCAGAGAACUCACACCCAUUAUGCGUGAUGGCUAAUGUGGAUAUUAUUAGACUCGAAGAGACCUUAGUUCUCCAACUGCGAGGAUCCAGUAAAACCAUAUUUAGUCACACAUUGUUUGGAGAGUUAGAGAGCCAAAGCCUAACAAAAAAGUGCCAAAGGCAAUUACUCAAUCAGAGGUGCCUUUUGCAGUCCAGUCCCAAAGAGGGCCCAACCCAUUGUGGUCAAUUCCUUGUCCAUAUAGGUGGCUCGUAUGUUUGAAAUGGGCUAAAUAUAACUCUUGUAGAAACAAAACAAUAGUGCAUAAUUAUGAUGGAGAUGUGCUACCAAGGAAGGGUCUAUUACUUCUUGAUCAGGGCAGGGUUCACUGACUAAGCUAGGCAACUCUAACAUUAAUGCCAAUGAAGUUUGAAUUAAUUUAAUUGCCUAUAAAUGCUCAUGUGACGAAAAUGGGUGCAGGACAUGUCAAAGAUGCAUGUCUUACGGAGUUAAUAAAUUCAAUAAACAAAAUCAUCAUUCAUUAUAUUCCAAAUAAUCAAAAGUAAUAUCAAGUAUCAACAUAUCAAGUCAAAGAUGAUGAAGAAAAGCAACAGGGAUCUAGCAACAAUAGCAAAACAUAGUAAUAGUAAUAUGGGGAAACGAAGAAACAAUCAUUGGAAGAAGUACAUCAUGGCUGUUGAAAUGAUAAUAUUAGAAAACUCAUGUAAUCGCUUUCAACAUCUCACUGAAGGACCUAUUUUUCCUAUGUCAGGUGGUCUAUAUCCACUCAAAAGGAACCUUCAACCAAGGAAGUUUAAUCAGAUCACAAUUCUUACAAAUGCUGCUUAAGAUGUAACUGCGGAGAGUAACUUAAUUCAUAUAACUUACUGGUGUCCUAAAAUGUAGCCUAUUUGGCUUCUCGAGCAUAAGAGAAUGAAGACUCGAUUUGUCAAUGUAUUGAAUACAUGAUGUCAAUUGUGAAUAUAAAAUUCACAAACACAAAAAAUAAUAUCACAUAAGUGCUCUAAGUAUCGUACUUAUUAAUAAUUCUCUUUUAGUAUUACUCCAGGAAUGUAAUUUCACCUGGUUUGGUUCAGUAGGACCAUUAUUUUUCGGUCCAACUGUCGAUCAGCAUGCCAACCAGCCCAAUUUCGACCCAUUCAUGUGCAAUACAGGGCCUCCUGCUUGGUAAGUCUUGUGAAUAGGAUAGUAAGACCUAUGGACCGAGCCCAACCCAUUCUUAAUUUUAUACAUUUUUAAAAUUAAAAAAUUAAAAUCCCAAGUUUCUAGAUCCUAAUCUCUUGUUCAUCGUUGCUCACAUCUCUUAACACUCGCAUUCGUCAUUGCUCGUGCAUGUCACUUAUACCCAUCACUAUAACCGUCCCUACCCAUGUCUAUCACCUACUUGUCACUGCCUGUAUCCAUCACUGUCGGCCCUAGCAAUCGAUACUCUUCUCCUCAUCCUCCUCUGUCACUUCAUUUCCUUCAACUCUACUACCACCUUCACUCUCCUCUCCAUUGUCACCACCUGUUCUCUCAUAUCCGACGUCCCCACCUCUCCUCCUCCCCUCCUUCGUCGCCUCCUUUCCUCCUCUCCUCUCCUUCUAUGUUGUGGCUUCUCCUCUUAUGCCACCUCCUAAUUCUUUAGAAACUCUGAAAUAAGAUUUUUUUCAAAUUUUGGCUGACUUUUCAGGCUUUUUUGAGAAAGGCGGUAUGUAGACCAAUAUUGGCACUAUUGCUAUUGCCUUAUUACUAUUAUAAACAGUUCAUAAUCAGAGAUUUUAGACUAAGUAGGACAAAGACCAAAGGUAUGCAACUUAGUAAAUACUAAAAGAAGAAUUGAGAGUGCGAUUGAAAUGGAUGGAGAAGAAAUUCCUAUAAAUAAAAAUUGUAGACAAAUUAGAUCUAUUAUUUAAUUAAUAAAAAGAUCGAUGAUAAUGUUCUCUAGAGAAAAAGAGGAUGGAUAAAGUGGAGAGGGAACCCAGGUUUUUUUGUGAUCAUAGAGGACCUCUUGGUUUAAAAAAGAAAUUCAAGUCCAAUAGAUAAGAGUGUUGAGUGUUUAAAAGACAUACAAAAAAUUAGGAUGGUUGAGAUGUGUCAGAAUAGAUAUAAAGAGUCACAAGAAAAGGAUAGAAAACAAAAUAUUUUGAGUCGUGAAUAACAAGCAUUACAAUUUCGCCCGGACUGAUCUAUACCCGCCAGUGUUUACCAGUCCUUGCAUGAACCAGGGCGUGAAUCAUCCCUUUUCAUGUGGUCUAGUUCGGUGUACUAUUUUUUUCAUAAGCCCUGGGUCUCCAUGCAUUUCGCAACCACUUGUCGCUAGUGUGGUAAGUCUAUAGAACUUGAAUGGAGAAUUGACACAAGCCUAGACAAAAAGAGCUUAAAGAGCAUGCAUGAAAAAAAGAUUGGCAUGAUGGGAGGUGAGACUUCCUUGCAACAUUUAGGUUGUUAGUCUAGUUACAAACACUGUCCUCGCAUACAUUCUCGGACCCCUCCCCUUCAUCAGUCAAGGUAACAUGAAUAAGAAGAAUGUGGAAUAUUUCAAAGUCGAGCCUUUUUGAUGACUUUUAAAGAGCUGUGAGGAAUACACCAUGAGUAUGUUAAAAUGAAGUGGUGUGAGCUUCAAGAAAGCAAGCCUACAAAUCUGUCUCAAUAAAAUUCACAUCUAGACAUGCCCUUGAUAACUUUGGUGGGCACAGCAACAAAAGGCUCCAGAACAUUUUUGGAAUGUAAUGUACAACAUCAAAUAACAAACACGAGAUUACAAGUGGAAUUCUUUGACGAGAUAACUCUCCUACAAAAUAAUGGAAUAAAAUUCUUCAGGCACAGAUAGAAAGAUUUUAUAAACAUAUAUGAAGUUAUGCUUGCGAGAAAGUUUUGCAUAAAUAAUGUGGCACUUCUAAACUCAUCGACCAACAUUCAUAUAGUAGCAAACCACUCUAAGAUGUCCAAACUCAUUGCAAACUAUUUCGUCCCAGUGAUGAACGAUACAGAGUGAUAUCAUUGCCAAGGCCCAAGGGAGUGUCAGUAUAUACCCUUGGCAUGGCAUAGAGAUGUAAACUAGUACAUCUAGAUACAGCUGGUACCACACCAUUGACUAUUUACUAUUCUUACAUAUACUUAAUUAUUGUUUAUAUUGGAAGAUAUGUAUUGGAUGUCUCAAGAUGCACAUUACAAAUAUAUUAAAAAGAGAGCGACAUUAACUAUGAUUAAAAUAAUAUCAUGUGCUUGCUUAAUUCAGGAAGUAACUACAAAAAACAAUGAUCUGCUAUUAUACAUCGUGUCAAGAAAAUAGAAGGGCUUUUCUCACUAUGUUUUGGAUGUCCACAAGCUAGAAACAUGACAUUAAGCUUUUUAAUUGAAAAAAACUUUGCUUACGCGAAGUGAUAGUAUUUAGUGCAGAUUAGUAAAAUAAUGUACAGGAAACCUAAGUACUUACCAAAAAUAUAUAUCCAAGGAACCUAAGAACUUAACAAAAGCUAUAAAUUUAAGGGAGUGAAAAUAUGUUUGCUUUUGUUACACAAUCAGUAUGUACCUGAAAUGAACAGGAGCAUAUGUUCGGAAGAUGACUUGAGUCUUGCUCCUAUUGACUUCUUUACGAAUCCACUCAAACAAUGUCUGAAUUGAUCUUUGAUAAGCUGUAUUCACACUCAUCUCCAUCUUCACCUGGCCUCCUUCUUGGAAAUAGCAACCCCUGAAUUAGAAGAUCUUUAUUUUAAUCUAGACUCGUUUAUAAAUGUAAUACUGCCACUCUGUUGAGAAAUAACCUAAGUUUAUUUUCAGUCUUUCAUGAUCUUGCAUCACUCGUAAUUAUCUUAACAAUUGUACCAUCACUCAAGACUCAAGUGUUUGAUCUUGAGUAGUGUUACCUUGGUAGGUAUCAAUGAGAAUGGUGUGGUCCUUAGUAAAUUGUGUUUGUUACUGAAUGUAAGAAGUCCAAAAGUGCCUCUUAAUCCCUAUAAGUAGAUGUGGGGUGUUCAUGAUGUGUGCAAGGACUAAAUAGAUAAGAAACAAAGUUUGUAUUUGCUUCCAUCCAAGUUCCACCACUCUAUCAACAAAUUUGUAUUUGACCUUAUUCAAGUGGCUAGUGUUAUGCAACUUUAUAUAUCUUGCUUCACCAAAGAGAAUUAUGAAUAAGGGUGUAUCCAAAUAAAAGUCAUGUUUGAAACUCAAAAUCUACAGGAGGUAGUAAAGAAAAGUUGAGUAACCUCAAGGAAAUGCUACUCUUAUAGCGCAAUAAAUAGAUGUUAAAGGAUUUGGGAAGACAAGAAGGCACUCUUUCUCAUCUGCCAAGACCUAGAUGAAGGCAACACAAGAAGGUCAUUUCUGCCAAUACCUUCAAAGAAGCAUGAGAGGUCCAACACUCCUACAUGCUCAAGCUGACAAAAUCUACUUGCACUUUUCUUAAGUUCUAAAACAUGAACAUAACCAGCUAAGUAGUGAUGCUUUAUAAGAGAUAGAGUAAAUGAGUACAAAGUUCAGCAUAAUCACCAACAAUGUUACUCCCUUUUCUAUCUCCUAUGUUCUGUGAAGCAAAAAGGAGGUAGGCCCGUCUCCUCAGUCUUCACCAUAAUAAGCAGAUAAAAGGAGUUCCAAAGAUCUUGCAUUUUGAUCUUGAUAGUAAUAAGCAAAAGAACAAAGUGUUGAAAGAACUAUACAUCCAAUCAAUGUACAGAAGUGUCUAAAGGUUGUAGACUGCUUUUGGUAGGAGAUUGCCAGAAGCAGAGGUAAUCUUUCAACAUUAAAACUGAGCUGAUAAGUUGAACAAAAUGAUCAUCCAAUUUGUGAUAAGUAAAGAUAUCGGUCUGCUGUUUACCAAUUAUCAUAAGUUCAUGACAGUUAAAAUUUAUCAAAAUCAAACCAACCAUCAAAGAUAAAGGAAGUAUUAUUUGACAAGCUAUCUAACAUAAAAAAAAAAUCAAACUCUUACUAGUUAGCCAACUAGAAGUUGAAUCAACUUGGGUACUCAUGAGCAAUUUUGUGUACUUAUUCUUCAUCUGUUUGUUCACUAUCUAAACUGAAAGUGCUAACUUAGUCACAAACCCAGUGAAAUGGAAAAAUCACAUUUCAAAUUCAUUUUGGAGCAUCAGGAUGGAUGGGGAAGGGACUACUGCUAACUAGUAGCACUUCCUUUUUGUUUAAUUAUGUGGACAAUGCAAGAAUCCAAAACCUGUAGUAUCAACUCCAUGUAUUAUGCUAUUUAGGUGAGAAUGCAGUUUGACUAUGUAAUUACCCUCUAAUGGUCUUCUCAUAGUUCCACCAGUGCCCAGUAUUGAAGACAAGGAUAUCAGCGUCCUUCCAUCUAUUAGAAGUCCAAUCCAAAAUGUCCAAUUUAAGAGUAGUCUUCACUUUUUUGGGCACACCUGCUGGGGCACGGCUUUGGAGCACCAGAAAUGGUGCCCUGUAAUACUCCACGGUACAGUUGUAGUCACUGAAGUUAAACACCAAGAAGCCCAUAUGUUUUGUGAUUGGGCUUCCAUUUACUUCAUAGAUUGAGCUCUUAUUUGAAACAGCCACAGAAAGCAUGCAAAGGAGAGACUCCCAUUGAUUCCUUCCAAUUGAAUCGCCUACAAAAACCAGCCUUCUGUUCCUUAGCUUCUCCAGCAUCUUCUUGGGAUCAAAUCUGAUCAAGUGAAUAGGAAAACAGGAAGGAUUUAGGAACAACUAAUUUCACACAGUGCUAAUAUCAUCAAUCUACAGUUUUCUUAACUAAAGCCAAUUAACCUAAGGGGCAAUAACUCCAUCAUCUAGUUUUAAAUAUACAAUAUUAAAGCAUCUUCAGAGGACUACAAGAAUCAUUACAUUUAACGGAUGUGUUUAAGAAAACUUCAGUGUCGGAGAAGCAGAUGAAGCAAUGCUACAUAUUUCCAUAUCACUCUUAAAAGACAUAAACGGCACUUGUUUUCAUUUACUAGUAAAAGAUUCCCAUGGAUUGCUGAUUAAAAUUUUAAGGAGAAAAAUCAAAGAAUGCCGUUUCAUUUUCUUCUCUUUUAUUUUUUGUCUUUUGGGGCCCUAAAAUCUGAAAAUUCUAAGAGACAUGCGGUAAGAACAAUUUUAAAAAAUAAAACUAUAAUAAAAUGUAAAUAUAUUUUUAAAAAUUGAAAACUACAUUUGAAAUCCUUUAAAUUGCAAAACAAAUGUAAAUUAUUGAUAGAAGUAAAAAAAAAAAAAAGUAUUAAAUAUAAAAAUUGAAUGCUUACUUGAAGUAUGUAAAACCACAUUAUUUACUUAUAUUUAUUUAAUAAAAAAUCUGAUUAACUAGAAACACAAAAAGAGAGACAAGAAAGGUUCAAACCAAAUAUAGGGAAAGAUCAUGUAACCGUUGGCUAAAUACUCGUAUAGUUUUGCUUUAAAUGUUUCCUGAAGCCCAGGUGUUUGAACAGCAAAUGCUGAGACCCUGCUAAAGGACGAGGGUUCCCUUGUUUCAAUUACCCAGAUUUUUCGGGAUUAUAUAACAGAUAACUAUAUAUUCAAUCGAACGACUAUAAAACAACUUGACAGUGUGAUCCUCAACAGUCCAAAGACAAGUCCAUCCAGAUAACCCAAAAACGUUGAGGACGGCAUCAACAAACAAUAAAAUCGCACGAACAUGAAGUCCGUGCAUCCUUACAGUGAACAUCCACGAGAAUCUUGCAUGCUUGACAGCUAUUCGAUAGACACAUGAAUUCCAACAUGAAGCUUCUCGGUAUUCAAGUGGAGGUAUGUAGAAUAAGCCUAUCAAAAACUAAAGAAAUAGCAAAAGCAAUGGAAUACACAACGCAUAGGAUCAAAAUAGAUGAGAAGGAAAGGAGGAAGGAUAAAGAAGAAUACAGAGCGAACGAAAAAGAAGAAAUCUCGAAGGAAGUAAAGCGACAAUAGAGGAGGAGAAAGCUGAAACCUUUGGGCUAAAAAUGUGCAGCAUCGAUUCCAAAAGAAAAUUUUCUUCAAAAGUAAAGAACAAAAUGUCAAAACCUUGAAAGAAAGAAAAUUAAAUCGCGGAAGUGAGACCUGGGGAGAUCGCAGCCAGCAGGCUGCCACCGCCACUUGGUGUACAUACGGUCGGGCCUUCCAUUCUCGGAGCAGCGGAAGCCCUCGUCCAAGAACGGGCAGUCCACCGACUCGUACAGCGGGUACCCCUCAUCCCACACCCACUCCCCGUCGAACCAAUCGCAGCCCCCGCCGCCGCCCACGGCCGGCCCACUCUCCCACGCGAGGCCAGCGACGCCGUAAUAGUCGGAAUGCACGAGGCGCAGCAGCAGGAGGAAGACGAGGGCGGCGGUGAGGACGAAGAGCCCCAGUGCGCCAAAGUGCUCGAAGGGCUUAACCCGCCUCCCGAGCCGCCGCAGAGCGUCCGAGCGCUCCUCCCAGCCGCCGUGGCCGCCGCUCCUCCUCUUGGCCGGAGAUGCGGCAAGAGGCGUCGAGUAAUUCGCCGACGGCACGGCGGAGCCGGAGCUUCCCAUGAGUCGUCAGUUUACCAAGGAGGGAUCAUCGGCAUCGGUGGUGGAAGUUUAUGGCAGGCAGACAUGGAUUUGGGCAAACGGAAGGAAUAAGCGAGGAGGAUAGACUGAGUGGGAAAGCUACAAGAAUAAAUAAAAUGGAGGAGAAUGGCAAGAUAAUCGAUUUGGUUUGUGGUUGUGAGAGGGGAACACAGCUUAUAGACAGACCAUCACCCAUUCAUCAUUCAUUCAUUGAACAAGUUAAAAUCUUUUCUUUCGAUCGUCACUAGCGAAGAAGAAGAAAUAUCAAAUAAAUAAUCAUAAUAAUAAUAAUAAUGAUUUACAAAUACGAUAAUAUACAUUUUUAUGUUUUUAUUUCCCCCGAGAAACAUACAUGUUUAUGAUCGUUAAUGGACAGCCGUCCGUGGCCGUCUCACCGAGGAAGACGUGAUCGUGAGUUCUUUCUCGCUUUGGCUGAUAGGAGCCGAUAUCGACGACUUCCAACACGUCGCUCGUAACUAAACUUCACAGGCCCAACAACACACGUCCCUACCCGUCUAUUCUUACCGAGGAUCGAUUGGUUUCACAGGUUGGUUGGGCCCCAUAUUACCUUAUCCAAAGAAAAGGAGGGUGCGAGAGGAGCGAUCGGUAGGGGGUGUAGACGUGAGUUACGAAGCCGGUGUUCCGGAACGGUGGGUGUGCCGACCCACGAUAUCCACGUCCAUCGUAUCCAAUUGUCCAGGCACGGGAGUGCUUGCUGCUUAUCCCCACGAACAGGAUUCGGCAAAGUCCACUAUUAUUAGCUAAGCGAGCAGUCCGCGGCCAACGGCGGUGUGUGUACUCUUCCGUCGUGUUAAGAGUGGGGAGGAAUAGACCCUGUCCGGACCCACACUGCUAAGCUUCAACCAGUUGAUCCUCGAUGCAUCAAUAAUAAUAAUUAUUAUUAUUGUAAAAGACAGACAGAACUUAUUAGUUGGAGGAUUUAUUAGUCCCAACUUAUCCUAAAAAUAGGGAAAAAGAAAGGGGGUGGGUGGUAAAACAAUAUGGUAGAUGGGGAUUUAUUAGUGCAUGGCGAUAUCCAACUCGACAAUAAAUACACUAGAAACUCGCUUAGAAAUCAAUGAUCCAAAUAUUAUAGAUGUUAAGAUAUAACAAUAUGUGAACAUGAAAAUUGGUGCUAGAUGGGUAUUGGAUAUCCACUAUCACCAUAGUAUCGAAAUCUUCUAAGUGAACGCAUCACAAAAAUAAUGAAUAAUUUGAUGAUCUACUCGCACUAGAACCCUUCCUCACUUGUCAUUAUCGACGCAAAGAAUAAUCCCCCUAAUAUCGUUCUUGUGGGAUUCAUAUUUUGCUGUAACCAGCGAGGAGAUAAGGAAGCAGAAUAUUUAUAAAAACAUAAACAUAUAACUCCAAAAGAAAAUUAUAUCUUUAUUGUCCUUUUUGCUAAACAAGAUUUUAUAGUAAGAAUUAAAUAUCCAAUCCCGUUUUAAUAUAGACAUAUUUACAUCAAUAAAUUUCCACAGGAUGAGAAUCUUUUGAAAAGGACCCUUUAGCAUCUAUUCCCUAAAGAGACGUGAGAUGAACAAUUUGACCACAAGAAAUAGGAAAAAUAAGAAUCACUACUUAUUUGCAAUUAAAGUUAGCCAUUAUUCUCAUUUGGAUAGAAAUCUUUAUAGGAGUUGUCAGGUAGUUUAGAUAGUAAAUUUUUUUAAUAAUUUAUUUUAUUUAAAAAUUUAAAUUUUAAAAUAAGACAUUCUUCGUGUAUAUCUCUUUUAGGUUUGUUUACCCCCAAACUAUAAUCUCUUUAAGAUUUGUCCUAUAUUGUUUACCCCAAACUACAACAUUUGUAGAUUAAGAGGAUAAUUUAGUUACGCCUUCCUCAAUUAAUCGCUCAAAUAUAUCAAUAUUAAGCUACACUCUUCGUCAACUAUCAAUAGUUAAUCGUGUAUAUUAUGACACUUAGAAUUUUGAUUACCAGUUGCCAAAGAGUUUUUUAUUUAUAGAAAAUUAAAUAUUAAUUAUUUUUUGAUAAGAAUAUAAUUAAGAGUAUAUUAGUAAUUAAAUUAUAAUUUUUUUAAUAAUUAUUUUCUUCUUGGAUCGAUAGUUGAUUAUGAUUAAAUGAAUGGUGGAGAAAAGUGGUAGUUGAUUUAGAAUCAAAAUUUUACUUAAAAAGACUUUUUAUAUUUGGAAGGAAGAUCAAGCUUUUUUUAAAUCAAAAGGAGUAUUAUAUCAUGUAUUUGAUUCCAUGAUUCUCAUCCUCUUGUAUCAUCGAGGGUAGUAAUAUAUUUAAUUAUAUUCGAUAGUUUGAUUUCCAAGACAAAUGAUCGUUUAUGAAUCUUAAAUGUCCAUGAUUUAUGAAUUCAUUAUUUUCUAAAUAAGUCAUGAUGUGAUGCUCUCUUAUUAAGUUAGUUAAUGUCUCGUUGUUUUUGUUUGUUGAUCCAAUUGCCCGCCGGCGAGGGCGAGGGGUGGGGGGGCAUCGGUGCAGUCCACAGGCGGCCGAGGUAACCAUGCUUGACUCGGCCCGGGUCGGAGAGGUGCUCGUCUCCCAGACACCAAGCAGGCCAUGGCCUGCCUUGUUCAGGUCGAGAGAGCCGGACUGGGUAAAGUCCAGUUUACAGAGACAGGCUCCGGUUCAGCCCAAUGGGGCCCCACCUCGUUCGAUCCCGCCCAGGACGUCUGAUCUGCCAAAUCAGAGGAUGACUUAUUUGUUUAAAUAAUUAUAUAACUUUCGAGUUUAUAUUCUAUUUGAACGAUAUGUAUGGCGGUGGAUUCCUUAGAAAACUUAGAUAAGUUUACGAUUUAAUGAAAUUUUGAUAUAAUAUUUAUAGAUAUUGUUAGUGAACAUUUAUAGUUUCUACACAUACCGGGGAGAUUUCCUGACUCGACCCCUCCGAAGAUUAAGUUAGUGUUUACUGAAGUAAAAAAGAGUUGAAUGCUCGAAAUCCUUCCUCUGACAUCGAUCAAAGGGUUGACUUAUAUAUCUAUGAACGAGGAUCGAUCGAAUAAUCUAGUAAUAUAGGCUCUAUUUCAUAAAUAUUAAUGUCUCAUCUAAGAGAAUAAAGGAUUAUAUUCAAAUUAAUUGAAUAUAUAUACUUUAAAAUUAUAAAUAGAUUUUGAAGGUAAAUCUGAAUUGAUUCCAAUUUAGAUUAUUUUUAUUUUAACUGAACCAAAUUAAAAAAAAAAAUCGAUUUGAUUUAGGGUUCAGUUUGAAUACCCCUAAUUUGAGGUUUUCAAUAAUACCAAAUAUAACAUAGAAUAAGACUUAGUAUAAUGCUUUAAGGCUAAUUUAAUGGUGACUACAUAUCAUUAAACACUCUUAAUAUGAAACUAAAUCAGUUGUAAUAUCUCAUACUUAAGGGAUUGAAUUUCUUAUUAAGAUACAAACAUAUCUUAAAAUUAGACUUUGAUGUGUUCUCUAAUAUUAUUUAUGGAUAACUCUUUUCUAUGCUCAAUAAAUACCAUAUCAGUUUAUAAAUAUCAAUUACCAUAAAUCGAUUCGAUGAAAUAAUUAAGUGUCAACCACUAACCUAAAUUAUUUAAACUCAAACGAAUAAUAAUUUGCCUAUCAUAUCCUUAAUUCAAUAUAAAUUUCUAAACACUAUGCCGUAGUAAACGGGGAAUUACAAGAUAGAUUAUUAUUAUUUUUAUUGCGAAAAAACCUAAACAUAGUAAAUUAGAAGCAACAGUAAGUAGCAUCCACUCAAACCAAUAGCAGGAUGCAAUCGAAAACUCGGACUGGUUUGUCUGUCUUCAUCGACUGGCUUUUCUCCUCUUGGAAGAUCUUUUAUUCCGUGAAGAUAAAUAAAUAAAAUAAAAUAAAAUAAAAUAAACCCCUCCUUAUCGCCUUUGUUCGAAGAUUCUCUUUGUUCCUCCUUCACACGUCAAGAUUCUCUCACCCGUCCCUGCCAACAUAAACCGUGGGCCAAAUGACAUACCAAUACCAUGGGCGUCGCACUCAGCAGUGAUAGAAUAAACACGGAUCGUAGCUGCAGUACUCCAAAUCACAACCCAUUGUCUGUCUUCUUUAUUUUAUUUCUUCUUCUUCCUUUUUCUUCAUUAUUUCUUAUUGUACGUCUCUCAUCACCACCCACACACACACCACGCAUUAUGUUUGUCAUGGCGUCGGUCGACUUCAGCUCUCCACCAGAAUAUUCUGCCCACUUCACAACGUGUGUGAUAAAGAGUUUAUAGAACAAGUAUUUGAUUAAAUUGAUAGGAGUAUCAUGAUGUUCUGUCUACAACAAAAAAGUUCUUCUAUCGUCCGUAAAUAAGUAGGAAUACGUCAUAAUCAAUCUUCUAAUGAUCGACUCCAUUUAGAUAUUUUUAGGUUUUAUUAAUUGUAAACAAUAUACUUCCAAACUACAAAUCCACAUUAUUUAUAUGGAUGCACGUACAAUAAAAACUAAACACCAUGGAGGAGGAUGAGCCCUUUAUUAAAGUAGUACAGUGGUAUCACACCAUGAAGAAGAAGCAGUUUUACGUUUCCUUGUUAUCUUGUGAUAUCCUUAUCUCAUUUGAGUAGAUUGGGAUGUGUUUGACUAGAUAGUGGACAAUUAACUGCUUCUUCUUAUCUUCAUGGCCGUGGUUAUAACACUUGAACAUGAUUAUAAUCGAAGUGGGCUCUGCAAUUGGUGUUUAUUUUAAUUUCGUAAGAAUCUCUGAACAUAUUUUAUUUUAAUGUAAGCUGAUCAAGGACUUGAUAGAAUGGAUCUACAUGUAGGGGCCAAUCGACAGUCAAGCGUUACCAUCCAACAAAACUAAACCAUGGGCGGCACUGAUUUCUAAAAGGGAAUAGUUGUGUAUCAAGCCAGUAUUCCAUCUUGGUUUUGACUCCUUAAGAUUGAUAGAUUGUUUCGUUUCAUUCUUGGAAGGAAGGGUUUUGAGAUGGUACAUCAAAGAUGCUUAGACACAAAAGAAGUAUAGAUUAACACUUCAUCACGUGUUAGUGUUCUUGUUCUUUGGUUUCUUUUCUGGUUCAAAAGGUGCAUGCAAGUGUAUGUUUAUUUAUGUCUUUAGAGAGAGAGAGAGAGAGAGAGAGAGAGCAGGUGGUGGUGGAUGAAAGCCAGCUCUUGAAACCCAGUACAUUCUUUUACAUUGUCCUAUAGUCCGAGUUGUAUCUGCUCUGGAGAAUAGUCAUCACCAUGUGAGGGUGAGUGGCAACCUGAUGGCACUUCCUCUAGCUCUAAUCCUGCAGACACAAAUGCCCUCUGCACGCGAAGAGAAGAUCUUGUAUAUCCGACCAGGCAAAAAAGAGAAGAUCUUGAUUCGUAUUGUUAGUUUACCAAGUUUUAAGACCUCAAAGUUCAUGUCCAAUUAAUUGAUUCAUUUUGGUGUACUCCACUCCGUAUAUGCUGAAUCGAAAGUGAUGUUUGAGCUCCAAAAUUAAGUCUCAUGUUUUGUUUGAACGACAACCUUUUAAAUAGGCACCGAGAGAAAUCACUGCUCGGUUAGAUAAGAGGUCACAUCAUGCAUAUGGAUCAUGGUGCAAUCCAUGCCACCAACUCUCUUUCUAAUGACUUCCACUCCUUUAUUCUGAAACCAGACUUGAAUUGUUAUUAAGUCAGGAGUGAUUGAAUUGCUGAUGCACAUCUCUUCUAGCAAAACCAAAAUAAAUCUUACUGUGGUGUCGGAUUAAAGAACCAUUUGUCUGACAUCUGCAGCGUCGGCAAAAGGGCUAUAUAAACAGAUAACCCUGCCUCUCUCCUUGCUCGCGUACCAUACUAGUUCCAAGUAGAUAUCCCACUACCGGUCUCUGGGUAAGUGGAUUGAGGUCAUCAUGUUGGGUGUAUUCAGCGGGGAGGUGGUGGAGGUCCCGGAGGAGCUGGUGGUGGCCGGCAGCAGGACGCCGUCCCCCAAGACACGGGCGGCGGAGCUGAUGAACCGAUUCCUCGGCAGCUCCGCUCCGGCGGUGUCGAUCCAGCUCGGGUACUUGGGCCACCUCGCCUACUCCCACACCAACCAGUCCCCCUUCGCUCCCAGGUUGAUCCUCUCCGUUCCUCCCAUAUAUUUAUCCUCGGCUCAAAUGAAAGAACAAAAGUUUCUGUCACCGUUCUUUCUGCUCUCUCUCUCUCUCUCUCUCUCUCUCUCUCNNNNNNNNNNNNNNNNNNNNUUUCUUCGUCUCUCUCUCUCUCUCUCUCUCUCUCUCUCUCUCUCUCUCUCUACCUUCACCGGGAAAGUGAUGAUCUCAGAAACGAAGCAGAUGCAUCCACGCAACUUAAUGCAGAGACGUGCAUGCACAAGUCAUAUAUCUAGGCAGCACGAGUAUAAAGAGAUCCCUGAAACGAUAGAUCUCACCAUCCAUUUCAGAUUCGAAAAGCAUCUGAUCUCCCCAAGCAGAAAUUUCUGCAUGCUAAUAUUGAUGAUGCAUCUGUCAUUCUGGAUCACUAGUGUUCCCUUGCUUACUGAUCCGAUUGCUGGGGAAGAGGAAGGGAAAUCGUAUGCAACGUUGGGUGGGGAUUUGUCUCUGUUGAUUGCCGACGCCCAAACUGUGGUGGGUUCGGUGGGGCCCAAACCGUGCGUCUAGUGUUUCCUACCAAUCAGAUUGUCCCAACCGUGCUGAUUUGUCUCUGUUGAUAGCUGACGCCCAUAGUUUUCGGAACUCGGUAUAGAAAAACCCACGCUCGUGACGCGUGGACUCCACUAAGCGAGAAAGGAAUAGACAACCACAUUAACUUUCUACGCGCACGUGGGGCCCACGUCCGUGCGUGUGGUUGGAUAAUAGCUAAGUCGGUCCGUCAUCCUUAUCCACACACUUCCCAGGAUUUGCACCUCUCUUGCUAAAUAUCUCGUCUUCUUUACCUUCAAAAGAUUCCCCUUACGUGUUCAUAUCUCGUGCCACAAAUAAUGGGCGCAUCCUCCGUAAAUACAUCUUCCAUCUUUAUGCCUUCAUUCAUUUGUCCCCAGUCAUGCGGGUUGAUAAUAUAUAUAUAUAUAUAUAUAUAUAUCGGAUCGAAUAACUUAAACUGAAAUCAUUAAAUCAAAUGAGGUGACGGAAAUAUGUUCAAAUGUACAAUUGAAUCGAGUAUACCACACGCCUAUGCUUAUUUCUUAGUCAAACCGACGUAUACGACACUCCAAGUGCGGCUUGGAUUUGGUUGAUGCAAUGAUGGACGCCUGUGC